rnacentral:lncRNA from 1 species
ACAACAAAAGUUGGGUAGUGUGGCUUAUGAAACUACUAGUGAUCAGUUAGUGGCUUUAAUUUGCAUGGACAAGAAUUUGAGUUUUUUUUUUUUUGGGGGUGAUGCUCAAUAUUUUUGGACAAGAGAAAUCAGAGACCAGAUAUAUGAUGAGAAGCAAAAUCUGGUGACCAUCACCGUCGUGUGCUGUAGCCCCGAGAAAAUCCGCGACAAAUUAUGUUGCAAGGGUGGCAAAGUCAUUAAGAGUAUUGAGAUCGUGGAGCCACCAAAGCCCAAGCCACCGCCGGAGAAGCCUAAAGAGCCCGAAAAGCCCAAGCCACCGCUCGAUGAGCCGGAUGACACCACACAGUCAGAGAGACCCACAGUUAGAGUAGUUGAAAAGUCGAAGACACCUGUUUGGUGGCUUGUUUGUUGUUGGGGAAUACUCUGAAGUAUUUUUGCAGGAGACUUUGAAGUCUGGUAUCAGAGCCAGAUUCUAAGGAGAAAACUAGUUACAAUGUCAUCCUUAACAGCAUCCUUAUCUUCUUCUGAUCUCAUUUUACAUAAAUCUAAUUCUAAUAAGUUAGAUUAUCUAUAUGAAAUAUCCAUUGAACAAGAAGCAGUAAAUCCAACCUCCUUACCCCUUAUUAAUCCUUAUUCUGCAUUUGGAAAACAAGCUUUCUCACUAUUAAGGGUCAUCAAAUACUUAAUCAAGCAUCAUCCAAAAGGAGUACGAGAAUAUAUCCAGGCCUCCAAGGUUGAUCAGCAUCAUAUCCUUGCUACAAAAAAAAAACAAUUUAUCCCUCUCUUUAUCCCACCAAACUUUCUUUCUCAAUGGAAGCAACAAGGAUUCACUCAUAUUUAUUUUGGUGCCAUACGUUUUUCCUUAUCUUUGCAUGAAAGAAAAGGUUUACGCAUGGUUGCUAGAAUAGCUCUAUUGGAUACAAGAUUCAAAAAAUAUCAACAUGCAUGUAUUGCGAUAGUCGAAACAACUCUAGACGCAGGAACAGUUUUUAUAACCUUGUUUCCAAAUUUUAAUACGUCUUCAACUUAUGUACCUUUUACUAACGAAAACUCAAAUACUAUAAACAAUCGAAAUUCGCUUCAACCCUGAGUCGUCGCUCAAGUCUCAAGUUCUCUCGUUUAACCCUUGAGCAAAAAUUUGGGCAGCAUGUCCUUUGUAUUUCGCUAUUUUUCAGGCAUUUAUGGUUUCAUUUUUUUUCUCAAUUCAGCCCAAAUUCAACACAUAAGCAAGCUUAACAAAAUAACUCUUCAACUAGGCCCAAUAUUAUCCAAAUACAAGUCAAUUCUAGCAAUGAAACCAUCAAUAUCAAAGCUGGAAACCAGUUUUAAAAAAGAAAUUAUAAGUGGCAGAUGUGUCAUCCUUCGGUAUUUUGAUCAUAACUGCAGUUAGAUAUAUUGGAUCAAGGUAAAUUUUAUGGCGUUUUGAAACUAAAAUAUAGACCUACAUUUUCUAUAAAGACAUUAACACCCAAUUCUCGCAUUUUCAGGGUCAAAACAAGACUGUCAGAAGUACAUGAAAACAAGUCAGGAAUAUUAGAGUUUUUUUUUUUGUGCAGUUAGGAAUGCUCUGGUUAAAUCCUAAGCUAACAUGAUCUGAUUGAUCUGAAAUUUUGUAGGUAGAAAGUUAACUCAAAACCCUAUAACUUUCAUGUUUUGUCCAAAAGCUAAUUCAAUCUAAAACAUGGAGAAAUUUGCAGCCCAGCCUGAUACCAAAAAUAAGGCUGAACUGAAAUUCCCUAUCACAUGCUGGAAUUUCAAAUUUUAACAUUACAAAGUCACACUCAAACCCAUAAUCACUUCAUAAGUUCCAUUUUCAAGUUCAAUAACAUCAUUUACUAGUUAAACAACACUAAUCAAAACUGAAGAAGGCAAACCCUAGUUGAAAAUUCUACUACACCAUCAAAAACUAGAAAAUCAACCAUAACAAGUCAAAAUUAAAAACUUCUAUAUCAAAAUUAGCAAGAUUAAGCAAGAGAAAAGGAAGUUUAGGCCUUAUACCUUCCAAUAACUUCUUGCAAGUGAGAAAAAAACCACUACCUUUUAAAAAUUUCACCACACCAAACCUUCCAAUCACCAAGAGGUAAGUUUAAUCGGUUUGAUUUUGUUGAUUUCACUCAAACAAGGGUUGAUUCAAGGUUGGAGUUGCAAACUUUCUUCUCUCUUUUCCCUCCUCUCACUCUCAGCCAACAAGAAAAAAAAUGAAGAACAAAAGAAGCCAAUUUGAAGAUAAGAAGGAAGGAAAUUUGCUUAGUCAAAGUUGGUUUGAUUUUCGCCAAGUGUCGCUUCAUGGAUUAAUCUCAAAAUAUUUUCUAUUCUCCCUUUUUAUUUAGUCCAAAAUUUCGACUGCCUUAAGGGAUAUUUUGGGGCUAAUUUUGCUAAAAUAAAAGUAAGGAGAUUAAAGUAAUAAAGUAGUGUUCAAGUGGUGUAUUCAAUUAGCAGCAAACGGUGCACAUCGAUUCAAACCUAUUUUCCUUAACUCUUGUGUACUUAUGUUUUAACUUAUGAUUCACUCACUUAUUAGUAGCACUUCUAAUCACACCUUUUCUUUUAUCUAAAACUCACUCUUAACCACCAAAUUUAGAACACACACCUCACCAAUUAAUCACACUACUAAAAUACACAAAAAUCAUAUUUUACCCUAACUAUAAAAUUAAGGGUAAAACUCUUAAUUCUAUUAUAUAUUACAACUAUUAAGAAAGUAAAUUUGUAGUAAAGAUAUUAUAAAAUAAUUUAUUCAAAAUAAAAGGAGAUUUUAAGAAAAUAUGCGGGAUUUUGCAAGUCCUCACAUAAACACUUUGGUGACGUGGUUACAUUUGACCCUACAUACCUGACAAAUAAAUAUAAGAUGCCUUUUGUUCCAUUAACUGGAGUUAAUCAUCAUUACCAGUCAAUUUUGUUUGGGGGUGCUCUGCUUUAGGAUGAAACCGAAGAAUCGUUUGUUUGGUUGUUGAAAACUUGGUUAGAAGCAAUGCUUGGGUGCCUUCUUAAAAGUGUCAAUGUUUGGGUGCCUUCUUAAAAGUGUCAUUACUGCGAUAACAAAUACUGUUAGAAACAACUAAUUGGAGGCCUUUCCCCUUUCGAAACAAAACAACUAAUUGGAGGCCUUUCCCCUUUCGAAAUUCUCCUUUUUUAAAAAAAUAUUAACUAAAGUUUCAAAAAAUUGAAUUUUGAGGUUUCAAGCUUAGGGAGGCAGGAAAAAUUGGUUGAGCCUCUGUACACAAGGUUGAGAAUAAUGCAAAUCCUACUAACUAAACUAGGGUGAAAGGGGGAGAAAUAGAUAAUGCAAUGAAUGGAACCUUGGAAUCCUUUCAAAGCUCGAGUAACUUUUCUUGCACAAGCCUCGCAACGCAUGUCAACCUUGAGAACAAUCUCCUGAACCUCUUCUUCCUUCUUUUCUUCUUUCGUGUCCCCUUCUUCUUCUUUUUUACUAGUGUCUUCUUUGUUUCCCAGUAUUUGUUUCUUUUCCUCCUCCUUGUUCGCUUCCUCUUUCUUCUCCUACAGCAUACCAUGCAUGAGAUCAAUGAGAAAAUGAUAGCAAAACUUAUAGUAGUUACUGGGAUUUCCUUCCAUUCAUUCGAGGGAGCAAUUAGAAUAAUCAUGUGCAAGGAUAUUUGGAAGUAGAAAACUAAAAACUUGCUUCGCCUAUAUCGUCUAAUUCUGACAAGCCCCUCUUCCAAGCUAAUACUACUAAUCAGUAUAGUAGGCAUACAGCAAGCUCGGGGCUUUGGGGUGAAGGAAAAUGGGAAGAGAGGAACAUGUAAUUUAAGUAGCGGGUGGUCGCGGUCUGGUGGUACUGCCUACACUGCCCGGUGCCCACUGCUGCGGCUGCUGCUCCAAAAUUCCAAAUUUCAUUAAAGCGAGUUACUUACGGUGCUGCCCUUCAGCUGACUCAGCACCUCAUAAUUUUGGCCCCCUUGUUAUGAUUCUAUCUCCGACUACGAGUACAUCAUCUGCAAAUGUAGCAGUCGCCUUUGACUGAUUAAAUAGUAGUCUGACACUACCGUAAUUUAGGAAAAAAUAUAUAUAGUAAAUAAAAUCUUGCAUGCGUGGAAGAGGAAAUACUAAGAAUUAUUACGGAGAUGGAUGGGAAAGGAUUCCAACUUUGUAAAAGCCCUUGGAGUUAUCCUGCAAGCAAAAGCCAAACGAAUGGUCGGCCUGGCAAGGGCUAUCAGGAUCUUUAAAAAAGAAAAGUUGGAAUCUAGCGGGACCCCCCCCAAUUUAUUACCAGUUUUCAGGAAACCAUUCACUGUAUAUAUGUGACGCUUCUGGCUUCCGCUCAUGUAUAUAACCAUUCACUGUAACUAUUGUGUGUGUAUAUAUAUAUAUAUAUAUAGGAGUAUGUUUUUAAUUUGAUGACAACUGUAACUAUUUUAACUGCAGCUGGAUAAAUAUACUGGACGGACCAUAGCUUCAACAUUGCACGUUAUGGGAAAGAUUGCAAGUUGCUGUUCAAAUGUUUUGACGACAUUUUCAAACUUAGCUAGGCGCAAAAUGUUAAAUAGAAAAACAGACGUACAGGUGCAGGAAAGAAACAAUUAAUGCAGCUCGUCAUUCCAAGAGAAAUCGAACACUGGUAUACGUCUAAAAGUGAGUAGUAAUAAAAAAAAAUAGAAAAGUUGGGGGAAGAAGGAUAAGUUUUGGCGAAUAGACAAAGAGUAACCGACGUCCCGAAGUGGGGCGAUUUUUUUUUGAAAGCUUUGCGUACACUAACAUAUCAUAUAUAGUGAUGACGACGGUAUACUUGUGUAGGAGGGAUGGAAAGGUUAUCCUGACCUGAAAUCACAGAGAAAGAAGCGGCCACCACAAUUUUUAAAGGACGAGGCUGUAACAUUUGACAAAGACGGCAGCCCACUGCAAAAGUGGUCCAAGUUCCAUGGAUCUCAAAUGGUUGAGGAAUUCUUCGAUACUAUCACCAACAACAUGUUGGUACAUGUAGUAGUUAAAUCAAGUCUUGGUUUCCUAGUCGGUAUUGGUUUCUUUAAGUCCAAGUCCAAUUGUAUUCCCUUUGUGAUUUGGAAGCUAAGUUUUAGGAGACAAAGUGGUCUAUAUAAACCACUACUGGUAGCCUUGUUACUGUGAUCCGAGAAUUGCAAACAAUCCAUGAAGUUUGCCUCCUGAAGAUUUUGUCAUCCUUCGUUUCUUUCUUUAGCUGUCCCGUUUGUUUAUAUAUAUAAAUAUUCCGCUGCCAAGCUAUUACUUUGUGUGUGUGAUUCGCUUGAAUUAUUCUAUCCUGUGGGUUAGUUUCCUACAAAGUGGUAUCAGAGCUUUGUCUGAGAUCCUGAUAAAUUAAAAUAUGGAUCCAAAUUAUUUGCACAAUUGUCACGUUUUUAUCUUCGAUGGUAAAAACGAUUUUGAGGUUUGGAGGUCGAUGAUGAAGAAUUUUUUUCAAAAUAUUGGAGUUUAGAAUAUUGUCGAAACAGGAUAUACGGAGUCGAUAGAAGGUAUAGAAUUAUCAAGCGAUGCAGUUAAAGAAUUAGAGAGAAAUAGACAGUUGGAUUGCAAGGUAAUGUACUUUCUCAACACUCAAGUCCAGUUGCAUGUUGCCAAAAAAUUUAUACAUGCAAAGUCGGCAAAAGAGGCUUGGACAAUUUUGGUGAACUCAAAUCGAGGUGCUGCUAACGUGAGAAAAAUCAGAUUGCAGGAACUUAGGAGACAAUUUGAGUUGGCCCAGAUGAAAUCUACGGAGUCAGUUAAAGAUUUUAUUAGCACAAUUAAAGAAAUUGUCAAUGAUAUGGAGUCCAAUGGUGAGAAUUUGGAAAAGGUUAGAGUUGUUGAAAAAGUUUUAAGAUCUCUAACUGCCAAAUUUCACACCAAGAAAACGGUCCUUGAAGCCACAAAGGACCUUGACAAUUUGUCACUUGCUGAAUUGGAAGGUGAAUUGCUGACGUAUGAGAUGUCCCUGAAUUAGCAGCCAUCAGAUACAGUAGAGGAGGUGUUACAAGCCAAGGUAGAUCACCCAAAAGAAAAAGAGGAGGUGAAUCGUAUGGACACAAAUCAAAGGGGCCAGAACUUCAGAGGUAGAGAACGUGGAGGCAGAGGUAACUCUCGUGGUCGUGGAAGAGGUAAUUAUUCUUACCAACCCAGAAACAAUUCUAAUAGGGAUCAGAAAAAUAGUCAACAACAAAGUCAAAAAAAUAAUUUUCAAAGGCGUGAUAGAUCUAAUGUCCAAUGUUAUAAUUGUGGUAAAAUUGGUCAUUAUCAGAAUGAAUGUUGGUCUAAUAGAGAGGUGUAUGCUAAAGUGGCUGAAAAUAGUAGUGAUAGAGAGGAGACUUUAUUGUUUUCUAGUUCUACAUCUGAAGAGUUUAUGAAGAAUGAUUGGUUUAUUGAUUCUGGUUGUAGUAAUCAUAUGUGUGGUAAAAAGGAGAUGUUUUCUGAUUUGGAUGAAUCUUUUCAUGCAUCUGUGAGAUUUGGAAACAAUGAAACAGUGCAUGUUCUUGGAAAAGAAAAAAUCAGAAUUAUCUUGCAAGAUGGGCCUUCGAAUUAUAUUUCUGAUGUUUUCUGUGUACCAAGUUUAUAUCAUAAUUUGUUGAGUUUGGGACAACUGUCUGAGAAAGGUUAUGACUUGCAUUUUAAAUAUGGCGAUGGCACCAUAAGUGAUGAGAAAUUGGGAUUAAUUGCUAAGGUAAAGAUGAACCGUAGUCGUUUAUGGCCCCUUUCUCUUAAUUGUGGCGAUUUACCUUGCUUUAAUUCCAUGACUUGUGAUGAUGCUUGGUUAUGGCAUAUGCGUUUUGGGCAUUUGAAUUUUGAGAGCUUGAAAUUUCUUGAAAGAAAGAAAUUAGUUAUUGGGUUGCCUUCUGUUGAGUUUCCUGACAAGAAGUGUGAGUCUUGUAUUUUGGGAAAGAAGCACAGGGAUCAUUUUCCAAAAGGCAAGACUUGGAGGGCAAAUCGACCACUUGAACUGAUUCAUUCAGAUUUAUGCUCAGUUGAAGUUCCUUCCAAUGGUGGUAGUAAGUAUUUUAUCACCUUCAUUGAUGAUUUCAGUAGGAAGACAUGGGUGUAUUUUUUAAGGAAUAAAUCUGAUGCAUGUGAUGUGUUUAAAAAGUUCAAAAAUUAUAUAGAGAAGCAGAGUGGCUACUCUAUUAAAAUUUUGAGAACUGACUGAGGCACUGAGUAUCUUGUUUGUGAUGACUAUUUAGUGGAAAGUGGUAUAAAACAUCAAUUGACAGCCAGAUAUACACCUAGCAAAAUGGUGUGGCAGAAAGGAAGAAUAGGACUGUGAUGGACAUGGUGAGAUCUAUGAUGCACUUUAAACGUAUUCCUAAAUCUUUUUGGGCAAAAGCAGUCUAUUGUGCUAUUUAUGUUUUGAACAGGUGUCCUACUAGAUGCAAUUUUGGGAAGACCCCACAAGAGGUUUGGACUGGCAUGAAACCGGAUAUCUCUCACUUCAAGGUAUUUGGUUGUCUUGCGUAUGCACAUGUUCCAGAUCAGUUGAGAAAGAAAUUGGAUGACAAAGCAGAGAAGUGUAUUUUUAUUGGAUAUAGUCAUGAGACAAAAGGGUAUAAAUUAUUCAAUCCAAACACAGGAAAUGUGAUUGUUAGCAGAGAUGUGAUUUUUGAUGAACAUGGAGCUUGGAAUUGGUCCAAACAAGAUCCCGAGACAUCGCCAAAGCACCCAUCCAUUUCUCCCAUUAUGGGACCAAGUGCUGAUAAGCAAGCAGUGGAGCAAGUUGUACAACCUCUUGGUGAUCCUUCAUCUUCCGCUAUUCAGGUUGAGACAUCCAGUCGACCACAGAGAGAACGACGCAUGCCAACCUGAUUUGAUGAUUAUGUUGUUGGCACAGAUGAUGAUUUAACUAAUGAAGCAAUUGUAAAUUUUGCUCUUUUUGCAGAUUGUGAUCCUGUCUCAUUUAAAGAAGCUGUCAAAGAUGAUCGUUGGGUUCGUGCAAUGGAUGAAGAAAUUCAUGCCAUUGAGAAAAAUAAUACAUGGGAGUUGACCACUAUCCCACCUGAAAAGAAGUCAAUUGGAGUGAAAUGGGUAUAUAAGACAAAGUAUAAGCCAACAGGAGAGGUGGAUCGCUUCAAAGCGAGAUUGGUUGUCAAAGGCUAUAAGCAGAAGGCAGGUAUUGAUUAUUUUGAAAUUUUUGCACCAGUUGCCAGACUUGAUAUGAUACGUAUGAUUGUAUCACCUGCUGCAAAUAAUUGCUGGAAAAUUCAUCAAAUGGAUGUAAAAUUUGUAUUUUUAAAUGGUUUUCUUCAAGAAGAGGUAUAUGUUGAGCAGCCUGCAGGUUAUGUUAGAAAGGGUCAAGAAGGCAAAGUAUAUAGAUUGAAAAAGGCAUUAUACGGGUUGAAACAAGCUCCUAGAGUUUGGUAUACUCGCAUCGAUACUUAUUUUAUUGAGCAUGAUUUUUUGAGAUGUCCAUAUGAGCAUACUCUGUACAUCAAAUUCAAUCCUGGAGGAGAUGUCCUUAUUGUAUGCUUGUAUGUGGAUGACUUGAUAUUUACAGGUCUCAGGUAUUUAACUUCUACGAGGCCUGACAUCACUUAUGGAGUUGGUUUGAUUAGUAGAUUCAUGGAAUCUCCACGCCAGUCUCACUUGCAAGCUGCUAAGAGAAUUUUGAGAUACAUUCAAGGUACACAAUCUGACGGUAUAUUUUAUUCAUCUUCACAUGAUAACAAUCUUGUUGGAUACACUGAUAGUGAUUGGGCUAGUGACACAAUACAAAGGAGAAGCACUUCUGGUUAUGCAUUUUACUUGGGAUCUGGUGUAUUUUCUUGGUCCUCAAAGAAACAACAGGUGGUUGCUUUGUCCACAGCAGAAGCGGAGUACAUGGCAGCUACAAGUAGUGCUACUCAAGCACUUUGGUUGCGGAGAAUGCUUGGAUUCUUGCAACACAAGCAAGAUGGUCCUACCACAAUAUUUUGUGAUAGCAUGUCUGCUAUUGAGUUGACAAAAAAUCCAGUUUUUCAUGGGCGCAGCACACAUAUUGACAUCAAGUAUCAUUUUAUUCGUGAGUUGGUUUAAGAGCAAGAAAUUGUCAUUGACUAUUGCAAAAGGGAAGAUCAAGUAGCUGAUAUUUUGACAAAGCCGCACAAAUUGGAGAUGUUCAUAAAAUUGAAGAAGAUGCUCGGCAUGGUGAAAUUUGAAGAUCUUGAUUUAAGGGAGGCUAUGUAGUAGUUAAAUCAAGUCUUGGUUUCCUAGUCGGUAUUGGUUUCUUUAAGUCCAAGUCCAAUUUUAUUCCCUUUGUGAUUUGGAAGCUAAGUUUUAGGAGACAAAGUGGUCUAUAUAAACCACUACUGGUAGCCUUGUUACUGUGAGCCGAGAAUUGCAAACAAUCCAUGAAGUUUGCCUCCUGAAGAUUUUGUCGCCCUUCGUUUCUUUCUUUAGCUGUCCCGUUUGUUUAUAUAUAUAAAUAUUCCGCUACCAAGUUAUUACUUUGUGUGUGUGAUUCGCUUGAAUUAUUCUAUCCUGUGGGUUAGUUUCCUACAGUACAUGACACAUUAUUAUUAUGAUUUCAAACCGUACCUAGAAGAUAUAUUUUUGGAUGAAGAAAGACAGACAAUUCAUAUUCAUGUCCAAAGGCAUUUUGCCUGGUGCCUGGCUCUGCAGCCAGUCUCAUGGGCCUCGCUGUGUAGUUUCAAGAGUGAGCCCAUCGAAUUGCUACGAACAGAACUGGGUUUCAAGAUGGGCCGCAUUUCCUUUCCAUUCCUUCUUCAAUUCCUCCAGCGCACGCCAUCCACUCAACUAGUCAAGUGACGAUUAUUCGUUAUUCAAUUCCUCCAGCGUACAUGAUCCACUCAACUGGUCGAGUCAAGUGACUUCGAAUUCGUUAUUCAAUUCCAGGGUACGAACAGGGAUACCUUUAUGGUAGGAAGCCUUUGACCAUUCCUAUCGUAGGCAGCUUCUCAGAGCAUGACACGUGUUGGAGUUGGAUGGAGUGCAAACGGAGAUGUUAAAUUGUUGGAGAACGCGUGAAGAGCAAAUCUCAAAUUUUGGUCUGUGGCCAGAAGCAAAAAAAGCACAAGUUUGGACUUCCGUUUUCCAAAUCAGUAGGUUGGGGUAGGGAAGGGUAAUUGCACGUCAGAACCACUGGCAUUUAUGCAUUUGCAGUUGUACCCGUUAGGAGCGGAAAAAUAUUGAAAAUGCCUUGGACAAAGAAAUAUGCGCAAAGAAGGUACUGAAGUUUUAACAAAUAAUAAAUGUAAAUGUCACACGUGUCAGGGAUAAUAACUUGAAAGAAGGAAAAGUGGAGCAGAGGUAAACGUAGUAGUUCAACGGCAACGUGAAACACAAAGAGAUUGAAGCCUUCAUUAUAUUUAUAUACACAUAUAAAUUUAGUACCCAAGUGUUUAGGUUAAGCAUCCGGUAAAAUGGUCCCAUAACUAUCGUUACGAUAAAUAAAAUAGUUUUAGACAUGAUGUAAUUGGUUAUAAAAAUUUUAGCGACCAUUUGAUUACCCGUUAGACCUAUCCACUUGAAUAGGAUUAUGGGCAAAAAUAAGGGAUUAAAUUUCUCAUCUAAAAUAGUAAGUUAACGUAAUAAAUUAGUAAGUUUUGCAAUCGAAAAGGUAAAUUGUAAUUAAUAUGAAACAUACUUUUUAAAGAGAUAAAUUACAAAAGUAUAUCCCAAAUAUACUUUUGAGGGUGUAAGUUUAUUUGAAGUAAAAGUUUGUUUGUAUACAUAAAUAGUGAUUUUUACUGAUAACAUAGUUAAUUUGAUUAAUGACAAAAAUAUGCUAAUGUAUGGCUAAAAUAUUGUACUAUGCUUAAAAAAACUUAUACGAAGGCCAUAUUUUAGUGUUAUUUGAAAUAACACUAAAAUGUAUUAUUAAUGAUUAAAACUGAGUACCUUACUUAGUAGGUACUGUUAAUAUACUUGUAUACAUAUUUGAUCGUAUGUGAAUAAAUAAGUAUUUUUGAAAUUUGUAGGGAAAUUAAUCUUUUCUUUUGGAGUUUUAAAAGAAACAAAGCGAAAACAUUUUUCCUCAGAGCACAAAAAUUCACAAAUUAAAGUAGUUGGUACAAAAGGGAAAGAGACAUUCUGAAUAUCAUUGUUUAAAGUACUAAAUAAAUGAGAUGUAAAAUGGUUGUUAAAAACAGGUGUAUUGACAUAUAAUAAAGGAAAGUCAUAAAGAGCUAGCCAUUUACAGGAAAAGUUAUCAUUCAUAAAAAUAGCAACGCUUCACGGUUUUCUUAUCAGUCUUGUAACAUAUGAGCAAAGUGGCAAUAAUUAAAAUAGUAUUUUUUUUCGAUUUGUACAUAUUUAAUUAAUAUUUUUUGCUUUUUAAAAAAAUGAAUGAAAAUGUUCUAUGAGAAAACACAUAAGUCAAAAGAAAUGGUCUAAAAGGGAAAAUAAUAGCAGAUACGUACAGUACUUGUAGUUCAUGUUCGAAGGACUAUAGUGCUGUUUUUAAAAAAAUAUCCCGAAAAAUAUCUAAUUCAAAUGGAACCGAUUCUUUACUAUUUAAAAUGUCAAAUCUGUGAUUGUUUUUGAACUGUUAUCCAUUGGUAUCGUAAAGUAUUAUUUUUUCAUCAAAUACCGCCUCUUUAACACCAAUUUUCACAUAAACAAAUUUAUUUAUCGGAUAAAAAGUAUAAAAAUUUAUUUUUGAAUAAAACACUAGCUCUUUAUGGCUUUCCUCCAUUAUAAGAACAGAUUACCCAUUUUUGCAUAAACAAAUUUAUUUUUCGGAUGAAAUAAAAAUAAAUCAGUUUUUCAGUAAAACAGUAACUCAUUAUGGGUUUCCUCCAUUAUAAAAACAGAGUACUCAUUUUAGCCCCUCUAAAAAAAAAUCUUGACUUUGUCACUAACUGAAAUGUUUGUAACUGAGAUUUAUCUAUGGUGAAUGUAUGAAACAUAAUUUUUUCACUGUAUUGAAUUUAUAUGAUGAAAAAUGAAAUAGGUGAAUUGGAUUAGUGAGCAUCAGUUUUGUAAAUGAUUGUGAGAGUAAACUAUAUUAUAACAAUAAAAUACGUUGAAUUGUGAAAAUUAUAAUUGAAACAUGCUCCUAAAUUUUGGAUAUGUGACUUUCCUAGUUGCGAAUUUCUUAAAUUAACAGUUAGUUAUUACUAUGAGUAUUGUGGUAAGUGUGAGAUGUGAAUGUCAGUAAUAACUGUUAGUUAUUAGUCUCAGUAAAAUCAGCAGUAAAUGUGAGAUAUUAAUUGAAAUUUUCAGAUAUCAUUUUACAUGGGUGGUUAUUAUCUGUUAGUUAAAAUUUUGGAGUUUUAAUUUUAUGGGUUAGAAGGGAAAACGUGAGAGAAAUGUGGGACAAACAUGAGCAUGAUUAUAGGAUUUAUACGACCAGUUAUAGGAUUAGUUGUCAGGUAAACAUUUCUUAAUUUUAGAAAUGUAAAAUUGUAAUAAAAUAGUAUUCAGACAACAUGACAAUUUGGAAAGCUCCUUAUCCAAAAUUCCCUCUGCAAUACAUAUAUAUUAGUCUUUUGACCCGUGCUAUGCACGGGAUUAUAUUUCAUAUUAAAAUAAUAUUGUAUAUAUUUAUAUAUUGUGGUACAGAAUAAUAUAUAUAUAUUAUUUUAAAGAAGUGCAUGUUUAACAUGUUGAAAAAAUUUUAAUUUAUAAUGAUUUACAUGAUAGAGAAAUUGUUAACGCAUUUAAGGUGAGGGUUAGGUUGGGUGGUAAGGUGAGAAGAGUUUUCUAAAAAAAAAUCAAUUUAUCAGUACCCAGCAAAACAUAUUAUGUUAUACCCAUAUAUCAAAACUUAUAAUAUAAAAAAAUAAAUUAUAACCAAUUUAUUUUCUUCCAUUUUUAGAAAAAAAAUCUUUCUCCUAUCUUGUACCUCUAAAAUUGUUGACUGCAUUUAGAUUAGCAUUUUUUUUUAUAAACUUUAACGUAUAUUUAAAAAUGUUAGGAAAUUGGUUUAAUUUCUUUUAGAUAGAAUUCUUAUUUUGUGUGGAAGUAACUAAUUUUCUAAUUGGUUUUAGUUACUUGAAAUAGUAGUCAAGAAAUAUUCUAUUUAGUUUAGGAUUAAAAGUUAUUCUAUGUAAAUUUAGGAAAUAGUAUUGGUUUCCAAUUGUUAUUUGAUUUUUUGGUAGUAAUGUUCCCUAUAAAUAGAUGGGUUGGCAUACUACACAGAGAGACACACAAAAGAGACACACAAGGAGACACAAGGGGCAUCAUGUAGCCUUAUACAUGGGGUGUGAGAGAGGGUUCUUGGGAGAUGAGAAAUGGUAUACAAGGGUUGGGUUUGGGUUCAAUUUGUAUUCUUGUAUAGGGUUUUUCUCUCAUAAUAAAGAACAGGUUUCUCUCCGUGGACGUAGGCUCAAUGAUGGAGCCGAACCACGUUAAAUAUUGUGUGUCGUUUAUCUUUCAUACUUGUGGAUUAUUUGCCAUUAAAUUGUUGUGCACUUGAUAUCUCAAUAGUUGUUUAUUCCGCAUUUGGAUCCUAACAAGUGGUAUCAGAGCUUGAUUGCGAGACUGAGCUGCUCAAGGUUCGUAGUUGGAUCCUAAUUAAUUAUUGAGAUCAAGUAGAUUGGUAGCUGUUACUAAUUGAACAAUUUAAUGAAUGGUAUUCUUGUUUCAAUGGUUUGGCAAAAAUCAUUGAUGGUGAAUGAUAGAAAGUCAAAAAGCAUGAAGAUACUUGACGAUGAAUCUAGGUAAGUGAUUCAAGGGUCAAGCAAAAGGUAGAGUCCAAUAUUAAUUUUGGACGUGAAUCGGUGGAGACUUUCUCACACCUCCAACGGUUGAUAUUUCAUUUCGAUGAAUUUUAGAUUUUAGUUAUAUUUUUUGGGUGGUGUGGCACGUGUCCCAAAGAAACAAAGAGAUCUAAUUUCUAUGCAUCAGAAGACUCUGACAGUUACGAAUUUUUUGUUUUAAGUGGAGUCUUGAAAACCACAUAUGGCGAGACAGUCCUGAGGAUGGGAAGAAGUAUGGUGACUUUACCACUUGAUUGCCUCAAUGGUUAGGGUUAGAGCUCACAGAAGGGGAUCCCAGAUUGUAAGUGGUGGUAAGAAGAAAUCCUGCAAAGGGAGAUGGUGAAUUGAGACACCUUCUCACGAGUCAACUGGAGGUUGGACUCGGGGUAACUACACAUGUUCGUUUGCCGAUUGAAUCAAUUUGAUGUCAGGAUUGUAUUGAUUCCGGUGUGUAGUUUGGUACCAUAUUAUUUGGUAGUUGAAGGCAAAUGGUUGCUAAAAGAAACUUUCGCCAAGGUGGAGAUGUGUUAGGAAAUUGACUUAAUUUCUUUUAGAUAGAAUUCUUGUUUUGUGUGGAAGUAACUAGUUUUCUAAUUGGUUUUAGUUACUUGAAGUAGUAGCCAAGAAAUAUUCUAUUUAGUUUAGAAUUAGAAGUUAUUCUAUGUAAGUUUAGGAAAUAGUAUUGGUUUCCAAUUGUUAUUUGAUUUUUUGGCAGUAAUGUUCCCUAUUAAUAGAUGGGUUGGCAUACUAUACAGAGAGACACACAAAAGAAACACACAAGGAGACACAAGGGGCAUCAUAUAGCCUUAUACAUUGGGUGUGAAAGAGGGUUCUUGAGAGAUGAGAGAUGAUAUACAAGGGUUGGACUUGGGUUCAAGUUGUAUUCUUGUAUAGGGUUUUUCUUUCAUAAUAAAGAACAGGUUUCUCUCCGUGGACGUAGGCUCAAUGGUGGAGUUGAACCACGUUAAAUAUUGUGUGUCGUUUAUCUUUCAUACUUGUGGCUUAUUUGCCAUUAAAUUGUUGUGCACUUGAUAUCUUAAUAGUUGUUUAUUCCGCGUUUGAAUCCUAACAAAAAAAAAUCUCUGUAAUGUAUAUUUUUAGAGUUCUCAAAAUUAUUAAAAAUCACCAUCAUAUCUCUCUUUUCUUAUCCGUCAGCUAGUCAUUAGAUGCCGUCUACGACUUUCGUAUCUUCUAUCAUGGUACCACUCUCUCUAUUUUUUUUUUGUCAUGUCUGUCAUAUCCCUGCAAUCCCCUUUCUUCUUCUCUCCCUACUCCGCCCAUCCUUGUAACCCACAUUUCUUCUUCAACCUUUCUCGCCACUUUUCAACUCCUCACCAUUUUCUUCCCUCCCUUCUCCCCCCAUACCCAACUUCUAAAUUCAUAUCCAUGUACCCAAUAUAUUUAACUUUACUAAUCAUAAUCAAAAUAUAAAAUUGAAAAUUGAUUACAAUGGUUGCAAUUAUUAGUAUCUAAAAAUGGAAAUGAAAAACUGAUAAUAUCUAUAAUAUUCUCAAAUACUACAAUCAAUAUAUAUAUAUAUAUAUAUAUAUAUAUAUAUAUAUAUAUAUAUAUAUAUAUAUAUAUAUAUAUAUAUAUAUAUAUAUAUUUAACAUAGCAAAUACAUAUUUACAUAUGAAGACGGUAAUAAGAAUACAUAAAAUAAUUAAUGAUAUCAAAAGUUAUCCUUAGUGUUUGGGUUUUACAUUCUUAUUCAAAUCUAAUCAGGGUCAAAUUUGGAUUAGAUAUAUACAAAUUAAGUAGUAUUUUAGGGUCGAAUGUUCUAUAUUUUUUUCUUAAACUAUAAUGUUACUUUUUUAAAAUUUUUGGUAAAAUUGGUGUUGUUAUUAUAAUAUUUAUCAAAAAAAAUUCCCACGUUAAAAGGCCAGUAGUACUUUUUUUUUUAUUUAGUGAUUUCAUAAUUUAGAUUUCAUGAAUGGUACCAUUCUUGAUUUUUUAAAUCCACGACAUUAUUUCCUUUUGUUUUCUGUAUAAUUUUGCUAUUUUACUUAGGAUUACUAAGUUAAAAGAUAAAAUAUUAUCAUUUACUUUUUUACUUUUACUAAGUUUGGUAAUGUUUUCUCUUUAUUUACCCUCCCACUAAUAAAUUUCAAACCAAAUUCCUAUAUAAGUGGAGCCACUUCUUACUUAUUUAAAUUAGAAAGGCAUGGAAGCCACUUCUUAUUUAGAAAAAUGUUAUUUGCACUCCAUUUUUUAUUAUUUGUAAUUCCACCAUUUGUUUUAUCAUAUAGUCUAAUUAAUGAAAACUAUAUGAUCAAAAUGAUUAUUGAAGUGUGAAUAACAAAAAUAUAGUGUAAAUAAUCUUACUUAUUUAAAUUAAUAAGAAAGCAUGAAAGGAUGUCAUAUUUGUUAUCUCUUGUUAUGGUCUUAUAGAAGUUUUAAUUGGAGUAGAAUCAUAAAUAACGCAAGGUAAUCGAAAACGUGAUAGGUUGAAGUACAAAUAAGAUAACAUGCACAUUAACCAACAAUUUGAAAUGAAAUGAUUUUAAAAAGUAACUAACAAUUUCAAAUGUGAAGAGUAGAUGUGGAAGUUAAGAGAAAUAUAUUUUAUAAAUUAAAUUAAAUGUGAAAUGCUAGAAAAAUAGAAUUGAUAGUGGGAAGAUGUGAAAGUUUGUUGCUAAAAAUUCUUUCUCAAAUUUAUAUAGAUAUAGAUAAAUAUAGAUGUCUUUUUUUUAGUGGUUCAAUCUCAUAUUCGUAAACUAUCUGCAGAAAAAAAAAAUUCUGGACUAUACUAAUUUUGUUAUACCAACUCUGUUAUUCUUAUUAGUGUAUUAAUUGUUACGCUAUUUCUCUCAUUUUGUUGGGCCUACAUUAAUACAAGUGUAAUUGUUAUUAUGUCUCGUGUCCCAGAAAAUACAUAAUAUCCUAUUCAGGUGGAUACGUGCAACAGAUAAUCAAAUUGAUGGUAAAAAUUUAGAAUGAAUAAGUUGCUUUUGCAUAAUGGUUGUAAAGGUUUCUUGAGACUUUAUGAAUUAGGUGUCUUGCGUUUGCAAAAAGAAUUUCAGAAGAUUUUUUGUAUUGGAAAUGGAGUUAAAACUUGCUAUAGGUUACUUUCAUGUAUUUCAAUCUUAUCGUAAAGGGUAAUUUGCUGUUGAACCUAAUUUUUUUUCCGAUUAUAUCCAACUAAUAAAUUAACUUAUGAAAAUAGAUAAUUUAUGGAGGAAAACUAUAAGUAGCUGGUGCUUAUUUUGAAAAAUAUAUUUAUUUUUAUUUUAUCCAAUAAAUAAAUUAGCUUAUGAAAAAUGGGUACUCUGUUCUUAUAAUGGAGGAAAAUCAUAAAGAGCUAGUGUUUUAUUCAAAAACGGAUCUAUUUUUAUUUUAUCCUAUAAAUAAAAUUUUUGUAUGCAAAAAUGGGUACUCUAUUCUUAUAAUGGAGGAAAGUCAGGAAGAGCUAGUAUUUUAUGGAAAAAUGUGUUUAUUUUUAGUUUAGCCGAUAAAUAAAAUUUUUUAUUUAUAGAAAAAUGGGUACACUGUUCUUAUAAUGGAAAAAAGUCAUAAAAAGCUAGUGUUUUAUUGGAAAAUUGGUUUAUUUUUAUUUGAUCUGAUAAAUAAAAUUUUUUAUGAGAAAAACGGGCACUGUGUUCUUAUAAUGGAGGAAAGUCACAAAGAGCUAGUGUCUUAUUGGAAAAUGGGUUUAUGCAGAAUUUUAUUUUAUCCAUAAAUUUUUUUUAUGGAAAAAUGUGUACUCUAUUCUUAUAAUGGCGGAAAGCCAUAAAGAACUAGUGUUGUAUUCAAAAAUAGGUUUAUUUUUAUUUUAUCCGAUAAAUAAAUUUUUUUAUGGAUGUCUAGAUAAAAUUUAUUGAUCGGAUUAAAAGAAAAUUUAUUUUAACACUGAUUUUUCCAAAAACAAAUUUUCUUUUCAAAAAAAAAAGAAAAUAAACCCGUUUUCUAAUAAAACAGUCGCUGUUUAUGGCUAUCCUGCGUUAUAAGGAAAGAGUACCCAUUUUCUCAAAAACAAAUUUAUUUAUCGAAAUAAAAUAAACAUAAAGGCGUUUUACAGUUAACCACCCGCUAUUUACGGCUUGCCUCCAUAAAUUAUCCACUUCACUAUUUUUCAUAAGUUAAUUUACUAGUUGGAUAAAAUUGGAAUAAAAUUAGGUUGAAUAGCAAAUUAGCCUUUAGGAUAAAAUUGAAAUACAGGAAAGUAACCUAUAGCAAGUUUUAACUCCGUUUCCACUACAAAAAAUCUUCUGCAAUUGUUUUUGCAAACGCAAGAAGAAUAAUUCAUAAAGUCUCAAGAAACCUUUACAACCGUUAUGCAAAAACAACUUAUUCAUUCUAAAAUUUUAGCAUCAAUUUGAUUACCUAUUGGACGUAUCAACAUCAAUAAGAUAAUAUGUAUUUUCUGAUACACGAGACAUAAUAAGAAUUAAACUUGCAUUAAUGUAGGCCUAACAAAAUGAGAAAAGUGGCAUAACAAAUAAUACAAUAAUAAGAAUAACAUAUUUGGUAUAACAAAUUUAGUGUAGUCUAGAAUUUUAUUUUUUUCUACAGAUAGUUCACGAAUAUAAGGUGCAACCACUAAAAAGAAUGACAUGCAUAUGUAAUGUAAAAAUGAAUAUAAAAUGAAUGUAGUUACAUUGUGUCAUCCGGUAUUCGGGUCCACAGUGGAAGCCGAACUUCAAUAAUGGAAAGCCAGAGUUGAAGCUUACUUCAGACGCUAUGGGAAAGAAGUGGGGUCACCAAUAUUUGGUACAAAGGAAAGACUUGCAAUAACAUAAUACGGAAGUCAGUCUGUUGUUUGCUUCCAUCCGCACACGCUUCUACUUGAUUUUCUAUGCACGCGCUCUCCAACAAUUUAACAUCUCCGUUUGGACCGUUUUGCCUCCAACACGCUCUCUGCCGACAUUCCUACCGUAGGCAGAUUCCUACCAUAAAGGUUUCGGUACGGAACAGGUCCAUUCAACCAAUGUUUUCAGAACCGGACCGGACCGGCCGGUUCGACCGGUUGGACCGCGAACCGGCCAUGUCACCGGUCCGGUCUAAUGCUAAAGCCGGAAGUUCAUGGAGAACCGUUGAAACCCGGACGAACCGUGCGAACCGUUAAGAACCGUGAACCGGCGGUUUUUUAAAUUCUUCAACAAAAUAUCAAGAAUGGUGUAGCUAAGAUUCGAACCUGGGUCUCCAACUUUAAAUAUGACAAUCUUACCGCUAGACUGUACUUAAGUUUGUUGAGAAUUCUACUUGACUAAAAAAUAUAUUAAAACAUCAAGUUCUUUUCUUAUUUUUUUUUUUUCAAUUUUUUCUUCUUAACCAUUUUUAACCCAAAUAUCCACAACAAGAUUUUCUCAAGUCUUCACCAUUAUUAUCUGGUUAUUAUCUUUAGCAGAUUGUAAACAAGUUGAAAAUUUCAACUUUUCUUGUUUUCCAACAUUUUAGUAAGUUUAAUUUUUUUCUUUUCAAGGUUUUUUCUAUAUUAUUAUCUUUAGUUGAUUUUUUGCAUUUUCUUCUUUUUCCCCUCAAUUUUCAUAUGUUUCCCUCAUUUUUGUUUUAUUUUUAUUCGAUUAAUUAAGGAUGAAAUUUUUGCAAAAGUAGUGCACAUCCGUGUAGGAAUUGGGUAGGAAUUACAAAUAAUAACAUUGGGCUGGUCAAAAAUAUGGUAGUUAGCACAUAAUCGAAACUAUUGAUAAUUGAAUUUAAAAUAAUUAAUGGUAUAGGAUCAUUGAAUUUAAUAUAACAUGUUAAUUAGUAAUGUUUAGUAGCAAUUAAUUUUUUAUGUGUUUAACUGUAUAUUUGUUUUUCAAAAAUUUUUAGUUUUUUUUAGUUUAAGCAAUUAGAUUUAUAUUUUUAUAAUAAAAUUUUACUUUUUCAGCUUAAGUUGAUGAAAUUGUGAAGGUGGUGUGGUUGCUUAUCAUGCCACUGAUAAAAGUUUGCUAUUCAAAUAGUUUGUUUUAACUUGAACUCUUUUAUGGAUUUUUUUAAGGGUUGUAAAAGAAUUUUAAUAUUUUAUUUAUUUAUUUUUUGUGUUUUUAUUUGUGAUAAUUGGCGCACAUUUGGAUUGUAUCUAUUUAUGUUUAUAAUGAAUUUAUGAAAACUUAUGGUGAAUUAUGAUAUUUUAAUUAUAUUUAUCAUUCCAUGUUUUAUGUAUAACUUUUAGAAAAUUUAUUAUUAUCAUAACUUAAAUUAAGUUAUGUUGGUAAAGUUCAAGUAUAGAAUGAAACAUGCUUAGUACUUAACACUAAAAAAAAAAAAAAAAAAAAAAAAAAAAAAAAAAAAAAAAAAAAAAAAAAAACAGUGAACCUUUGAACCGGCCGGUCGGACCGGUCGAACUGCGAACCGGCCACCUCUCCGGUUCACUGACCGGUCCGAGUUUAAAAACAUUGCAUUCAACUGGUCGAGUCAAGUGACGAUCGAUCAUUCGUUAGCUAGCAAAAUGACGAACUGACAAUAAUGACUUUGAGCUGCUUUACGUCAAUUUAACUUUUUUCUUUAGUUGUUUACUUUUUUCUUUUUUUCGGAAACGUUAACGAUGUAUUGAUCAUAAUAAGAAACUUUACAACAAAAGUUGGGCAAAGGCUCCAGCAGAAGCUUUACAACAGUGCAUAUGCUCGCACUUACAAGGAGUAAUAAUAAUAAUGUUUGAAGCGUGAACGCUAAGCCUAUGACAUAAAUCCAUAUUUGUGGGGUUUUCUUUUUUUUUUUUUUGGUAAUCUAAAAGAUCCAUAUUAAAAUUUAAAUGUCGUACUGAUUGUCCAACGAGUACUACUCAUUAGAAAAAAAAAAUUCAUAGUUAAUUGCAAAGGGCAUAAGGAUAAUGAACUUGAUAAUAAUAAGAUAACGACAUUUUUGGCCUGGUCUUUUAAUUUACGGGAUUGAUUGAUGGCUCUGUACAGUGGUAUUACCAUACAUGCUAACAAGUUUGGUACGUGUCUACAUGAAAACUGUCGGUGUGUAUUUAAAAUAAGAAUUAAUAUUUUCUUUUUCUUUUUCUUUUUCAAAUGUGUUGUUGACAGUCUACUUAACAAAUAUGCAGUCACUUGCACGACAGAGAGAGAGAGGAAGGGGACAAUUAACAUUGGAGGAGUCACUAAUCAGUCGAAGCAUGGAUUGAUGCCACGCCCAAAAAACCAAAAAAAAAAAAAAAAAAUUGUGAUAGCACCAUGUGUAGUGUAAAAUGGUUGGCGCAUGUGGGGGGAAGAUGCAUCAUAUGCCUGGAUAAGCUCUCUCGCUCAUAAUUUCCGUCAGCACAUCAAUCAAACAAAAUACUCACUAAUAAGUAACAACCACCUCACCUUGAAUUCAGAUGCUGCGUUGCAUCUUAAAGCUGUAGAGCUGGGUGGGGAAUGGUGGCCAGGGAUUGGUUGGGAAGAUUGCGGGGGCCUGGGCUGUUCCAAAUUUUAGCUGUGCCAGUCCAAAGGUCGAAGAAGCAAAGGUGCUAAGAGAGGCCAUGAUAGUGAACUGUAGUCAAGUAGUGAAAGCAGUGUGCAGUGAGGAGGAGGAUGUAGUGAUAGCAUCAAUUGUACAUGACAUCAGGAUACUUAGGUUAAAAUUUGAUGAAUGUUGUUUUACCUUUACAAAUAGGGUGAACAAGCCAUAAACUAGCUAAAGUAACUAUUGCUUUGGAACAAAAUACAGAAUGAAAGGAAAACUCCCCAGUUUGGCUGCUGGAACAAGUCCAAGCAGAUUGUAAGGACAGUUGCCCGGCUAUACUGUAAUUGGUUUACUAUUAAUACAAUGUUGCCGUUCUGAUUAAAAAAAAAAAAACCACCUCACCUUCAUUGCUCUUAAGAGUCAUCAUGGUUUUGUGGGAAUUGGGAAUACCUGAAUGAUGGGCAUGGGAGUGCGUAUCUCACUGAAAUUACCUCCGAAAAGCUUUUCCACCGUAACACUUGAGGAUAGAAUAUUUGUCUCGGUCCAAUGUAUAGAUUGUUAUCUUUCAAUGGAUUAAUCUUUCAAGUCCCUGCUGCAUCAAUUGCUAUAGUACUGUUGGAGGUGUACUAGUCAAAAAGCUUCUCUGUAGCACCGCAUAUCUGAUGUGCGGUUAAAGAAAAAACUUUUCCAAACCGUCACAAAUCAGAUGUGCGGUUAAGGGAAAAACAUAUUUUAAUUCAUUUGCCGCAAAUUAGUAUUGCGACAAAAGAUUUAAAAAACAUUUUUUUUCUUGCUCCUUCAAAAUCAUGACCCUUGAUCAUAUGUUAAUCAAUGGUCCAUUUUUGGCUAAAAUAAAAAAAAAUGCAAUCGAAAAUCUUAACUUCAAAAAUUCUUAAGCUGCGAAAAAAAAUAAAAAAUAAAUCAGACAACUUUUAAGUCGAUAUUGUGACUUGCGGCGACCCUUAUGAUAGACAAACUCCCUACAAAACACUACUUUUGUGAUAAUUUUUUAUUUUAACAUUAUUACAAAAAAUUUGCCCAAUUUUUACCCAAAUUAUCCAAAUUUUAUUGCAAAUUGGAUAAAUUGGAUAAUUGAUUUUGACAUUAUUCCGAGAAUAACGUAGGUAAAUUAAAUUUUAGGCUUCCAUGGUUUGGGUUUACAUAUUCGGGUUUUAGUGCUGGGGUUUAGGGAUUAGGAUUCUAGAGUUAGGGUUAGGAUUUUACGAAAAUAAAUAAAUAAAUAAAGGAAUCGCCACACAUGAGCUUUGCAGUGAUUCUUUUUUAAUAUAAUAUUUUUCGCCGCACAUACUUUUGCAAAAAAAAAAAAAAAAAACCUCUCCAUUAGCUUCGUUGGCAAAAAAAAAAAAAAGCAAAUUUAAACAAUUUUUUUAUGAAACCCAACUUCCUAUUUGCGGCGACUCUUUAGGUAAAAACACUCUUCAACUAACACCACUUUUAUGAUAAUUUUUGGUUUUAACAUUAUUCCGAGAAAUUCGCCGCACUGGCUGUGCAUAGCAUAGCCCACCCCUAUUAGUACUACUAGAAAGUAGAUAAAAUUUUUUUUUACGGCAAUGAUAACAUUUUAUAACAUAAUCUAUCAUAAUCUAUAUGGAGGGGAGUAUAAAGAGACUGUGUAUAAGUAGUUAUAAAGUAUAAGAAUCUGACUAGAUCAAAAGGAUACUUUGACACCUCAUUUGAAUUUUUUUCACUGUAAGUGGGGUUCGAACCUCCGACUUAUGGUCCAAAAAGAGGCUUAUAAUUCCUUUUUUUUCACUGCAGACCAUCUUUUUUUUUUUAGGAGGAGAAAGUAGUCUUGAUGACGGCAUCAAAAUUCAACGCCCCUUCCAUUUCAUUUCCACCCUACUUCCAUGCUAGUACUGCAUGCUGCCCCGUUGCUAUCUUUCUAUAUAAAGUCCUCGCACCUAUUCUACCUAAAUGGCUCCUACCAUCUAAUUCAACCAUUUCUUAACAUCAGUUUAGUUUAUUGCUGCCUACAUCCCUUCCCAAACACCCCCCCCUCCCCCCGGGAACAAGAAAAAAAGGAAAAAAACUUCCAUUUCCAACAUUUAUCAUUUGGGCUGUUGAUCAGAUCCACCCAUCGCCACUGACUUGACUCUUUCCUUCAUCAACUAUGGCUGAGAAGGUAAGCCAAUUCUCUUGCUAGCUUUCCCAACCAUCCCUCAAAUGUUCGUGAUAUAUUAUUGUUUUGCAUCUUUUUUUUUUCCUCUUUUAGUGUUUGCUUAAUCUAAAAAUUUUAAUUGCAAGUCUAUGACAGCACAUACAACGUGAAAUAUGCUUCUUUUUAUGUCAAGAUCUCUAGCCACAUCUCUCAGCGUAAAACUAGUAGCACCAUAUAAUUGUGCAUCUUAAUUUUGCAGUUCCUGAUUGUUAUAUAUAUAUAUAUAUAGAGCGACGGAGCUAUGUUUUUUUUUUCUAAGAGAUCAAAAUUUUUCAUAACAAAAUUAUCUCAAUAUAUUAUGUUCAAAAUGAUUUCCACACACACAUAUAUAAACUCUCACAAUAUAAACUAAAAUUAUAAAAAAAUUAAAAAGAUCAACUUUAAUUUUACACAUAUAUCUACAUAUUAUGAAUUAAAAUUUUUAAAACUUAAGGAGCCAUGGCCCAUCAGCCCCUUGGCUUCGUCAUUAUAUAUACAUAUGGAUCGAGUUUGACUAUUUUGCUCCGAUAAUAUAUAUGCAACCAUACAGGUGACUACAAUGAGACUCGAGGUUGAUCUUCAAUGCUCCUGCUCCUACAAGGUCAAGAAAUUCCUCUGCAAAUUUCCUCGUGAGUCUCUUAUAAUUAUCAAUUCUAUCUCUUAUGUUUUCAAUACCAGUAUUACUAGUAGUAGUUCUUCUUUAGAGCAAGCACAGUUGGAUGGAGGACAUCCACCGUUCCACCGACUACAUACAUGGCUAGGCAUGUGUGCCACCAUGGGCUACAGUUUUUUUUUUCCCCUUCUCCAUGAUUAAACAACAAAAGCUGGGUAGUGUGGCUUACGAAACUACUAGUGAUCAGUUAGUGGCUUUAAUUUGUAUGGACAAGAAUUUGAGUUUUUUUUUUUUUUUGGGUGAUGCUCAAUUUUUUUGGACAAGAGAAAUCCAAGACCAGGUAUAUGAUGAGAAGCAAAAUCUGGUGACCAUCACCGUGGUGUGCUGUAGCCCCGAGAAAAUCCGCGACCAAUUAUGUUGCAAGGGUGGUAAAGUCAUUAAGAGUAUUGAGAUCGUGGAGCCACCAAAGCCUAAAGAGCCCGAAAAGCCCAAGCCACCACUUGCAGUGGCGGUCUGCUGUGUCCUAUGUUCGGAAGGGUACGGAGGGGGACGAUGCUGCUGCAGGAACUGGCGGCCUGUGCCCCCGCACGCGUGCGGGUGCGGAUACCGGUAUAGUCAUUGUGAUUAGUUCAGUGAGCAGAUCACUGGCGACUGUACGAUUAUGUGAGAGGAGAGGAGAGGAGAAUUUGAUAUGGGGAAUGAUAUGAUAUGAAAAGCAUCCAAAUUAAUCAUUUAAUUUUGUUUGGUGGGCGGUACAUGCAAAUGCAUUGAAGCAAAAUAAUACUAGCAGUAUUGUGUAGUUAGGGCCUUCAUAGGACCUAUAAUAUAAAAGGAAGAAGAAAAUAAAGUUAAUGUGCAUGCUAUUAUGGAGUAUAUAUAUAGAGAGACGUACAUGUGGGGACUGAUUCAAGUUGGAAGUCACUUAGAAUAAGCUUUUGUAUGUACCCUAAUGAAUAAGUUUUCUUUAAGUGUCAAGGCACACUUUUGUAAAGAUGUUUGAGAGCCGUUGCUCAGAUAUUGUAUAGUUUUGACAUAUUAAUAAAAAUUUUAUCGUUUCGGAAAAGAAAAAAAAAAUGUCAUUGCAUCAAAUUUUUUUCAUUGUUUAUAAUAAUAAUAAUAAUAAUAAUAAUAGAAAUGAUGUCGUUAAAAGUGCAUGUACUCUCUUCUUCUUCUUCUUUAUUAUUAUUAUUUUUAGAUUUCAUUUUCUCGCUUUGCUCUCUAGUAGUAGUAGUAGUAGUGUUAGUAAAUUAAUGUGCUAGUGUAGAUGUUCUAGAUACACAUCUUCUUUCCUGUUUCUUCAUUUCUUAAAUCUCUCCAUUCUUUGCCAGAAAUAAAAUUAAAAAUAAAAUUUUAUAUAUAUAUAUAAGUAGUAAUGUGCUAGCGUCACAGGAAGGAAUGCAGAAAGGAGCCAGUAGUACUUAACAGUCACUUGGGAUCCUCGGUGACAUAUUUUCUAUGCCAAUCCAAUACCACCUCUAAUAUUACGCCAAGUGUCCUAUUAUUAUUUGCACUUUAAUUUUCUAAUAAUUUAAAUUGAUUUGAUUUGACACAAGUUUUCUUUACCUUCUAAACCUUUAAACCAAAAUUAACCGACCGGACCAAUGAUACUCAUCUUAUUACUUGAGCAAGCAGUGAAGUGCGCUGCCAUGGCCGCCCGCUCCAUCGUCCUCACUAUGGCUCAGUAACAACUGACAAAUGGCAGCGUUAUUGAAGAAAUUGGCAACGAAGGCUGCACCGAUGAUCGCAUUCAAUGGAGCUUUUCUAGCCCAAUCCAAGUCUACUUUUCUAAAUUUCCGUAUCCCCUUUGGAGCUAUUGCAGCGGUUUCCGGUGGCAUAUCAUAUUAUUACUACUUCUCUUUUUCAUCCGUGGUAAUUUCUCCCAACUAUUUCAUCUGUGUUUCGGUCACUUGGUCUGCCACGUCACAGCUCUGUCCUCCACAGAUGGAAAUUGUCAGUUGUUACCGAGCCAUAGUGAGGAAGAUGGAGCAGGCGGCCAUGGCAGCGCACUUCACUGCUUGCUCAAGUAAUAAGAUGAGUAUCAUUGGUCCGGUCGGUUAAUUUUGGUUCAAAGAUUUAGAAGGUAGAGAAAACUUGUGUCAAACCAAACCAAUUUGAAUUAUUAGAAAAUUAAACUGCAAAUAAUAAUAGGACACUUGGCGUAAUAUUAGAGGUGGCAUUGGAUUGGCAUAAAAAAUAUGUCACCGAGGAUCCAAGUGCUUAACAGUUGGGUAAAAGUAAAAAUAACGCAUAUGAAUUUGCAUGCCAUCUCAAAUGCUCGCAUGCAAUAAUAAAUGUCAAAAGUUUAGUCAACAAAAGACCGACCAACGUUUUUUUUUUUUUUUUUUUAUAAUAACAUUCAUCAACCAACAACCUUCCAGGACACCAUGGCACGGCAGUAAAUGGAGUAUAUAUAUAUAUAUAUAUAUAGUAGCAAAACAAGACAAGACAAGAGACAGACUCACUCACAGUAACCUAUUUUAGUCAGAUUGAUUAAUUAAUUUCGGGUUAGUUUGGUUGUCUUUGUCUUCACUCUUCUGUAAUAAAUUGUCACUCAGCGCCGGUGUCGUCCUGUUGGAUUGUUACAAAAUAAUUGAGGAGAAAUAAUUGCGAGGUGGUGGAGUCACUAAUUCGUUGUCCUUCCAAUUCCAAAUCCUUUCUUUCACUGGAUCCUUUCAUUGUGGCUCUAGGUUUUGGUUGGAUGUGGCGGCCGGCAUGAAAGUGACGGAGCAGCCCGCAGAGGCUUUUACGAAAUACCGAAGGCUCGAAUCAUGACAAAGAUUUCCCCAUGAAAUUAAUUAAGCUUCAGAGGGAUACCACACACACAUAUUGCCCUCUUUUAACCGGUGCAUCAUUUCAUUUGAGGGAUGGAUCAUGGAGGAGGGCAUUUUCUGCUUCUCUUAUUUUUCUCCUCUCUUCUCUUCUUGAGUAGUGAAUAGUGAUUGCCCUUCUCAAGUACAGAGUACAGUAGUAGUAUAUAGUAGUAGCAACUACUCUCCGUUUUUGAAUUGUACUGCUCCGUUUCAACAUACUACUGUUACUGGUCAUGAGAAAAAAAUUCUUGCUUCAGUUUCUUGUAUGAGGUAGCAGAAAUCUAUAGGUCGAAACUCGAACGAACGUCCGACAAAUGACCUAAGAAAUGAUUUUCCUGGUGCCCAUUGAUCUAUAGAACCCAAUGGCCUAAAAAAUUAGCUAGCUGAAAACACCACCAUCUCCACGGUCCUGGAACCUCACCGGCAGCCCAAUGUAGAAAAAAAAAAAAAAGAAGAAGAAAACUCAAAUGCUGCUGACUGCUCUGCUGAGUGUCGACUGAGAAGGAAGGAAGGAGAGUAGAGAGAAGAAUGGUGGCCGCCGCCUAUUCGCCGUCUCAUCUCUCUCGCGACCCACACCUCUUCUGUAACUCUCUUUAUCCCACUCACCUCCACCAACUCGGAAUCAUCCCCCAUAACGCCCUCGCUUUUCAUCCUCUCAAGCCCCAUCCAAAACCUUCCCUCUCUAUACCGGCUUCCCAACAACAAUCCCCCUCAAUUUCCCAAAUUCCUCACCGCCCAGAUGCUAAAACCAUCUCUUCUUCCUCAAAAAGCUAUAUCUGGGUCAACCCCAACAGCUAUAUCGGGGUAGGUGCUGCCGGCUCUCAAAUCUCAAAUUUUGCUUACGAUUCCCCAACAGUACUAAUUCAUCUCUCUCUCUCUCUCUCUCUCUCUCUCGGCUAACGGUAAAUGUAAUUUUAUGUGCAUAUCAGGAGACAUACAAAGCAAAAACCUUUGGAGCUAGCUUACUCAUACAUACAAAUUGUGUAUUUAAAAUAAGAAUUAAUAUUUUAUAUACUGAAAAUAAAAAUAUAAUAAUUUUUUUAUACUAAUAAUUUUGAAUAUAAAAUUUAAAUUCAUACUAUAUGGUAUAAUAUAAAUCUGUUAGUGCCCUCUGCAGCUUGUCCCUGGUCGAACCUUGCUGCUAACAAGUUGUGGAGUGUGGAGAAUAGUUUGUGGGAUCCAUUUCCUACGGAUACCCCUAAAAAAUAUAUCUCAGCAUGAUUACGUUACUUGAUUCUCGUCCGACUAUUAUCUUAAAAAGUCUGUUUGGAUUGUGAAUUAUUAGAGAUAUUUUUACUGUAGCACUUUUUGUGAUGUGAUGUAUGUGAGAUAAAAAGGUAAUUGGAAAGGUAAAAAGGUGUAUUGGAAAUUGUAACGAUGAUGUAAACAAAUAAAUUUGAGAAAAUAAAGCCCAAUCUGUUUGGUUAUAUUACAAGCGUCCCAAUUCAAUUAAAUUCCGCUGCGCUGCGCCUUCAAAUGUGUUGUUAACAGUCUACUUAACAAAUAUGCAAUCACUUGCACGACAGAGAGAGAGGAAGGGGACAAUUAACAUUGGAGGAGUCACUAAUCAGUCGAAGUAUACCCCCAGUUACAGUAGUUGAAAAGCCGAUGGCACUUGCACCACCACCACCACCACCAGCACCGACUUCACCUGAACCGUGCUCUCACCCGCCAGUUCCAGUGGGGUUCUGCUGUGUCCCAUGUUCGGAAGGGUACAACGGGGGGCCAUGCUACUAUGGUUAUGGGCGGCCCGCGCCCCCGCCGCCCUGUUAUGAUAGCUAUGGUUUCAGGUACGGGCAUGGGAAGGGAUAUACGGACAGCCGUUGCAAUUAUUUCAAUGAGGACAACACUGGGGGUUGCACGAUUAUGUGAGAGAGGAGUAGAGAAUUUGAUGGGGUGAUUUUACUGAUAUGAUGUGAAGAGCGUCCAAAUUAGUAAUCAAUUAAUUUUGUUUGGUGGGCGGUAAGAGCAAAUGCAUUUGAAGCAUUUAGUAGUAGUAUUGUGUAGUUAGCGCAAACCUUGAGAACAAUCUCCUGAACCUCUUCUUCCUUCUUUUCUUCUUUCUUGUCCCCUUCUUCUUCCUUUUUACUAGUAUCUUCUUUGUUUCCCGGUACUUGUUUCUGUUGCUCCUCCUUGUUCGCUUCCUCUUUCUUCUCCUGCAGCAUACCAUGCAUGAGAUCAAUGAGAAAGUGAUAGCAAAACUUAUUACAGUAGUUACUGGGAUUUCCUUCCGUUCAUUCGAGGGAGCAAUUAGAAUAAUCUUGUGCAAGGAUAUUUGGAAGUAGAAAACUAAAAACUUACUUCGCCCAUAUCGUCUAACUCUGACAAGCCCCUCUUCCUAGUCCUAGCUAAUACUACUAAUCAGUAGUAUAUAUGUUUAUAUAGAAUGUAUUACUGCAGGGAGGAGGGGGGGGGGGGAUCGUGGAGAUUUUCUUAUACAAGAAAUGAAAUGAAAUGAGAGCAAGGACCCUUUCUCUCAGUAUAGUAGGCAUACAGCAAGCUCGGGGCUUUGGGGUGAAGGAAAAUGGGAAGAGAGGAACGUUUAAUUUAAGUAGCGGGUGGUCGCGGUCUGGUGGUACUGCCUACACUGCCCGGUGCCCACUGCUGCGGCUGCUCCAAAAUUCCAAAUUUCUUUAAAGCGAGUUGCCUACGGUGCUGUCCUUCAGCUGACUCAGCACCUCAUAAUUUUGGCCCCCUGCUUAUGAUUCUAUCUCCGACUACGAGUACAUCAUCUGCAAAUGUAGUAGUCGCCUUUGACUGAUUAAAUAGUAGUCUGACACUACAGUAAUUUAGGAAAAAAUAUAUAUAGUAAAUAAAAUCUUGCAUACGUAGAAGUUAAUGGAAAGGAAAUACUACGAAUUAUUACGGAGAUGGAUGGGAAAGGAUUCCAACUUUGUAAAAGCCCUUGGAGUUAUCCUGCAAGCAAAAACCAAACGAAUGGUCGGCCUGGUAAGGGCUAUCAGGAUCUUUAAAAAAGAAAAGUUGGAAUCUAGCGGGACCUCCCCGCCCCCAAUUUACGACCAGUUUUCAGGAAACCAUUCACUGUAUAUAUGUGACGCUUCUGGCUUCCGCUCAUGUAUAUAAUCUGCUGUAACUAUUGUGUGUGUGUGUGUGUGUAUAGGAGUAUGUUUUUUGAUGACUAAUGUAACUAUUGGAAUUACUCAACUUCCUUCUUCGAUUACAUUACAUACUUGAUCGGCUAUAUUAUUUUGAUGAUCCCAAAUUAAUUAAGAUGAUCGACCUUGUAAUAAUGAUUAAUUAAUUGGUUAGAAAAUAAUUCCAAUUUACCACUUGCUUCCACAUGUCAUCACAUAGUUCUUGAGAACUAGUUGUUGCCUAAAUACAAAACAGGCUUCUGCCUACUUUUGAAUUUUGGCUUCCAUAGGAGGGUACAAGCGUGUAUACGAAAUCUUUAACUCUUCAGAAUUGAAGCUGCAAGUGCAAGAUUUAAGCAUCCGAAAGCAAUUAAUUUAAUGCCAUAUGCUACGGCUAUUGGAUUAGGCAAUAAUUUGCUAGUACUUACUAUAGCUUAAUGACUUAAUCGGCUAAUUACAGAAAUUAAUGCAGAAGAGGUCAACAGGCACUACUCGAAGACAAGCCACAAAAUCCAGGUGCGAUGAGGAAAAAGAAAAUUAAGUGAAAUCUAUAUACUAUUUCUUCAUGCAUGGCUGUCCCUUUUUGUUUACCCAUCUAAGGUUAAAUUUCUAUCUCAAAAUUCCUCGGGUUAAAUGAGUACCACAAGUUUUCUUGGGGAGACCUUUUUAAAGAUUUGUAGAACAUGCACAAGGAUAAUAACUUCAGUAGGAGUAUGUUUUUUGAUGACUACUGUAACUAUUUUAACUGCAGCGGGAUAAAUAUACUGGACGGACCAUAGCUUCAACAUUGCACGUUAUGGGAAAGAUUGUAAGUUGCUGUUCAAAUGUUUUGACGACAUCUUUAAACUUAGCAAGACGCAAAAUGUUAAAACAGAAAAACAGACGUACAAGUGCAGGAAGGAACAAUUAACGCAGCACAUUUCCUCAUCAUUCCAAGAGAGAUCGAACACUAGUAUACGUCUAAAAGCGAGUAGUAAUAAUAUUUUGCAAGAGGCAAAAAAACAACGGCAGUAAAAAAGAAAAUAGAAAAGUUGGGGGAAGAAGGACAAGUUUUGGCGAAUAGACAAAGAGUAACCGACGUCCCGAAGUGGGGCGAUUUUUUUUUUUCAAAAGCUUUGCGUACACUAACAUAUCAUGUAUAGUGAUGAAGACGGUAUACUUGUCUAGGAGGGAUGGCAAGGUUAUCCUGACCUGAAAUCACAGAGAAAGAAGCGGCCACCACAAUUUAAAGGACGGGGCUGUAACAUUUGACAAAGACGGCAGCCCACUGCAUAAGUGGUCCAAGUUCCAUGGAUGGAUCUUGCGUUUCUCAAAUGGUUGAAUUCUUCGAUACUAUCAUCACAACGUGUUAGUACAUGAUACGUUAUUAUUUUGAUUUCACACCGUACCUAGUUUAUAUAUUGGAUUGGAUGAAGAAAGACAAUUCAUAUUCAUGUCCAACGGCAUUUUGCCUGCUGCCUGGCUCUGCACUCUGCAGCCAGUCUCAUGGGCCUCACCGUGUAGUUUCAAGAGUGAGCCCAUAGAAUUGCUACGAACAGAUCUGGGUUUCAAGAUGGGCCGCCACUCCUUUCCUUCAUCAAUUCCUCCAGUAUACACAAUCCACUCAUCUAGGCAAGUGACGAUCAUUCGUUAUUCAAUUCCAGGGUACCUGAUCCACUCAACUAGUCUAGGCAUGUGACGAUUAUUCGUUAUUCAAUUCCAGGGUACGAACAGAUCCAUUCAACUAGUCGAGUCAAGUGACGAUCAGUCGUUAGCUGGCAAACUUUGAGGCUUAUGCUUCAUCCGGGACCUAACUUUUGGUAGGGCAGUAUUGAUAACUGGUUUUGCAGAAAAAAAAAAAUUCUGUUGUUCAAGUUGCAAAAGCAUGAGGUGUAAAUCUUCCGAGGGUUGAACUUAGAAUGCUGUCCAAAAUAAAUUUGACUAGUUGUAAGGGCAAGAGAAGACAGGUCAGAUACAUAAAAGGGAUAAUUUAGAAACCUCCCUUGAGGUUUUCAAUAAUUUCAUUGACCUCUCUUGAGGUUUGUAAAAUUACACUAACCUCCCUCAAGGUUUAGAUUUCGGUAACAAAAUUAGUCCAAAUCAGAAAAAUUACCAUUAAAAAUGUAUUUUGCGAAGAGAGAUAAACUUUUAUUCCAUAAAUGCCCUUAUGCUUGUGUACAAGUUGUAUUGUAAAGGAGUAAAAAAUAUAUUAAUAAAAGCGUGGGAAGGUAAGCGCAAAUAGUAAAGAACAAAAAAUAAGUAGCAACUGACUUUCUCUACAAAGUUGGACCAACGGGUAGUGCAUUAGAUUAUAAUGGAUAUUUUUCAGAUCUUCACCAUUUUGCAUAUAAAGGAACCAAGAAGGAUUAAGAUGGAUCUCACUUUUACUUGAAGCAGUAAAAGUUGAUGUGUAAAAAUAGUUUUGGAUGUGAUGUAUUAUGACUUUGAGCUGCUUUACGUCAAUUUAACUUUUUUCUUUAGUUGUUUACUUUUUCUUUUUUUCGGAAACAUUAACGAUGUAUUGAUCAUAAGAAACUUUACAACAAAAGUUGGGCAAAGGGCUCCAGCAAAGCUUUACAACAGUGCAUACGCUCGCACUUAUAAGGAGUAAUGUUUGAAGCGUGAACGCUAAGCCUAUGACAUAAAUCCAUCAUAUUUGUGGUAUUUUUUUUUGUAAUCUAAAAGGGCACAUUCGAAACAGUUUAGCUAAGUCCUUAAUGUCUUCCACACCAAUUUGGUGUGAUCAAUUGAAAUGUCCUUGCUGGACAGAUGAAAGCGAGUUCUUGUCCCUGAUGCCGACCAUCGCCCGUUCAGCCACCAACUCCUAUUCCCAUUUUCGUCAGUUGUUUACAAAUUAGCAGUGAAUUAUUUCCACUCCUACUUUAUCUAUCUUCUAGGAACAUAAAGAGUAGUAAAGCAGCAGUGCAGUGGGGCGGGGUAGGUGCUGCCGGCUCUCAAAUCUCAAAUUUUGCUUAGGAUUCCCCAACAGUAGUAAUUCAUCACUUCUAUGUUUACACUUUACACUUGCAUCCGGAAUGAAUGUUGUCACAAAAUCCAUCCAACAAAGUCAUCAUGUAUAUGUUAAACCCCCGAUAUAAUAACCAAACUGGUAAUAAAUAGUUAGUGGCUUUACCGUUGUUAGGAUGGAAUUCGUGUGUUGAUAUUUUUUUUUUUUAAAAAAUAAAAUUAAAUAAAAAAAGUAUAUAAACACAAGAUAAGAUAAUAAUAAUUAUCAAUAUGUACGCUUACAUGUGGUUUAUUAGAUGUGAUUUAAGUGUCGUAAUGAUUGCCCAACGAGUAUUACUCAGUAGAAAAAAAAAAUUCAUAGUUAAUUGCAAAGGGCAUAGGAUAAUGAACUUCUUGAUAAUAAUAAGAUAACGACAUUUUUGGCCUGGUCUUUUAAUUUAUGGGAUUGAUUGAUGGCUCUGUACGGUGGUAUUACCACACACGCUAACAAGUUUGGUACGUGUCUACAUGAAAACUGUCGGUGUUAAUAAAGAGUCUUUCCUCCGCCAUCCUCAUUUGCUUUUGGCUUUCUUUCGUACGAUUUCUUUUUCUUUUUCUUUCUCUCUCUCUCUCCCUUUUGGCUAACGGUAAAUGUAAUUUUAUGAGCAUAUCAGGAGACACACAAAGCAAAAACCUUUGGAGCUAGCUUACUCAUACAUAAAAAUUGUGUAUUUAAAAUAAGAAUUAAUAUUUUAUAUAUUGAAAAUAAAAAUGUAGUGAUUUUUUUACAUACUAAUAAUUUUGAAUAUAAAAUUUAAAUUCAUACUAUGUGGUAUAAUAUAAAUCUGUUAGUUUUUUUUUUUUUUUUUUUUUGUCAACACAGGGGUGUCCGGGUCAAGACCCGAAGGCGGCCCGACUAAUCCCCUGCGCCUGGAGUACAGCGCCACCCCAACCGCACCCAGGCGUUAGGUGAGGUUCGAUCCCACGACCUUGCGAGUGAUUUUCCAGCCGCAGACCGGGUGAUCUAACCCGGGAGUAGAAAAAGUUAUCCUUAAACCAACAAUAAUAAUCAUAAUUUUUGUGAGCAUUAGUUAAAUCUCAGCAUGAUUACCCUUGAAAUGUGUUGUUAACGGUCUACUUAACAAAUAUAUGCAGUCACUUGCACGAGAGAGAGAGAGAGAGAGAGAGGAAGGGGACAAUUAACAUUGGAGGAGUCACUAAUCAGUCGAAGUAUAGAUUGAUGCCACGCCCAAAAAAGCAAAAAAUAAAAAAUUGUGUAGUGUAAAAUGGUUGGCCCAUGUGGGGGAGAUGCAUCAUAUGCUUGGAUAAGCUCAUAAUUUCCAUCAUCAGUACUCACUACUAAUAACUUCAUUACUGUCAUUAAUAGUCAUCAUGGUUUCGUGGGAAUUGGUAAUAUAAAUAAUAAAAUAUAUUUUGGAAGGUGAGGUGGGCAUAUCAAAAUUCAAAGGCAGCAACGAACGGAGUAUGGAGGAUGGAUGUUGAUGGAGCGUCACAACUCAGCAAUUCCAGGCCACCACAUAUGCCUAGCCUACCUUACCUUACCUCAUACGCCCGUAUUAGAAAGCAGCAAAAUUCAACGCCCCUUUCAUUUCGUUUCCACCCUCCCUCCUUCCUUCCAUACUAUUACUAGGGAGUAGUAGUUAGCACUGCAAGCUGCCCGGUUGCCAUCUUUCUACAUAAAGUCCUCCCACUUUUUUCUACCUAAUUGCCUCCUACCGUCUAAUUCUUCCACCAUUUAUUAGCAUCAGUUUAGUAGUAUACUGCUUGCUUGCUUGCCUGCCUACAUCCCUUCCCCACUCCCCGACUCUUCCGCUCCCGCACCCAACUCCCCAACCAUUUAUUGUCAUUUGGGCUGUGGAUUCUUGAUCAGAUCCACCCAUCGCCACUGAUCACUGACUCCUUCCUUCAUCAACCAUGGCUGAGAAGGUAAGCCAAUUCUCCUGCUAGCUUUCCCAACCAUCCCUCAAAUGUUCGUGAUAUAUUAUUGUUUUGCAUCUUUUUUUUAGUAGUGUUUGCUUGCUCAAUCUGAAAAUUAUAAUUGCAAGUCUAUGACAGCACAUACAACGCGAGAUAUGCUUGCUUCUCUUUAUAUCAAGAUCUCUACCCACAUCUCCCAGCGUAAACCAUAUAAUUGUGCAUUUCUUGAUUGUUAUAUAUAUAUAUAUACACACACACAUGUAUGGAUCGAGUUUGACUAUUUUGCUCCGAUAAUAUAUAUGCAACCAUACAGGUGACUACGAUGAGACUCAAGGUUGAUCUUCAAUGCCCCUGCUGCUACAAGAAGGUCAAGAAAAUCCUCUGCAAAUUUCCUCGUGAGUCUCUUUAUGUUUUCAAUACCAGUAGAGUAGUAGUAGUUCUUCUUUAGAGCAAGUACAGUUAGUUGAAGGACAUCCACCGUUCCACCGACUAUGUACAUGGAUAGGCAUGUGCGCCACCAUGAGCUACAGUUUUUUUUAAAAAUAAUUUUUUCCCCUUCUCCAUGAUUAUUUAUUAGCCGAGUUCAACAACAAAAGUUGGGUAGUGUGGCUUAUGAAACUACUUGUGAUCAGUUAGUGGCUUUAAUUUGUAUGGACAAGAAUUUGAGUUUUUCUUUUUUUUUUUUCUUUUGUUGGGGGUGAUGCUCAAUGUUUUUGGACAAGAGAAAUCAGAGACCAGAUAUAUGAUGAGAAGCAAAAUCUGGUGACCAUCACCGUCGUGUGCUGUAGCCCCGAGAAAAUCCGCGACAAAUUAUGUUGCAAGGGUGGCAAAGUCAUUAAGAGCAUUGAGAUCGUGGAGCCACCAAAGCCCAAGCCACCGCCGGAGAAGCCUAAAGAGCCCGAAAAGCCUAAGCCACCCCCAGAAAAGCCCAAAGAGCCGGAAAAGCCCAAGCCACCCCCAGAAAAGCCCAAAGAGCCGGAAAAGCCCAAGCCACCUCCAGAAAAGCCGAAGGAGCCCGAAAAGCCCAAGCCACCCCCGGAAAAGCCCAAAGAGCCGGAAAAGCCCAAGCCACCUCCAGAAAAGCCGAAGGAGCCCGAAAAGCCCAAGCCACCUCCAGAAAAGCCCAAACCACUACCACCACCACCUGAACCGUGCUCGCACCCACCAGUUCCAGUGGGCUUUUGUUGUGUCCCAUGUUCGGAAGGGUACGGCGGGGGACCAUGCUACUACGGGUACGGGUACGGGUACGGGCGGCCUGUGCCCCCGCCACCUUGUUAUGAUAGCUAUGCUUACGGGUACGGAUAUGGGAAGGGGUACCCGUACAGUCGCUGCGAUUAUUUCAGUGAGGAGAACAGUACGGGUUGCACGAUCAUGUGAGAGGAGCAGAGAAUUUGGUGGGUGACCUUAGUGUGUGUGUGAUUCUACAACUAUAUGGUACGGUAUGAUGUGAAAACCGAAGAGCGUCCAAAUUAAUUAAUGACUGCAUCGAAGCAAAAAUAAUACUAGUAUGUACUUAGGGCCUUAGGCCCCUUAUAAGACCUAUAAAAGGAAGAAGAAAAUAAUAAUGUGUAUAUGAUUCUGGAUUAUGGAGAAAGAGAGAGAGAGAGAUGUACAGGCUUAUUCAAGUUGCCUGUCCAUUAGAAUAAGCUUUUGUAUGUAUCCAAAUGGAACGUCGUUGCAUCAAAUUUUCUUUUCAUUGUUUAUAAUAAUAAUAUAAUAAAAGUCCUUUACAAUCAUCAUUGAUAUGCGUUAAAAGUGAAUGUAUUCUCUUUUUCUUCUUCUUCUUUCUUGGAUUUCAUUUUCUUACUUUGUUCUUUAGUAGUAAUAGUUGUAGACAUCAAUUUUUUUUAAAUUUCAAAUCCACUAUUUUUAGUUUUAUUUUUUUACUUAUAAAUGGCUUAAGUAAUUAUUUUAAUUUUAUUUUGUAAGUUUAUGUCAAAAGAAAGAAAAAGAAAAGGAAAAAUGGAUGUUCAAAUGCAAGAAAAAUAGUAAAAGUUUUUUUAUUUGCUUCUAACCUAAAAAAAACACCCAAAUAAAAACCCAUCCAAAAUUCAAAUAAAGCCCAAGUAAAACCCAGCAAAAGCCUGGAAGUAAAGAGGCCCGAUGGCCCAACGCUUUUCUUUACGCAUGCAUGUAUUGCAUGUGUGCCAUAUUCCUCCCAUUUUCACAGACAAAUGAACCGGUACAAGCAAAGCCGUAAGCAGUUGGCUUUUGUUGCAAGAUUUUUUUUUUUUCAUUCUUUCUUUCUCCCCAAGGCUGGGUUGGUACAAGGACAGCUCAUUACAUCCCAAAUUUUAUCUUUGAAGAUACAACACAAAUGAAUCAAAGGGAGGAAAAAAUAGCAUAUUACCCAUUUUUAUCUCAACCCUUCAUUGCUAGGUUUUAGAAUUUUUGUUUCAUAUAAAUACAUAGCAAACGCAGGUUUAACAGUUUUGAGAGGAGAAAAAGGAGCAAGGAAGCGGCCACAUAAGAUCUGGGGUAGGAGAGAGAAAAAGAGCAAAAAAAUCCCAUAAUCAUUUUUGUUUCAUAUAUAUACAUAACAAACACAGGUUUAAGGUUUUGCUUUCCUCUUAAUUUUUUCCUUGUUGUCUUUUUUGUUUUGAUCUUUCCAAAUCAUUUAGCUGCUACUAGAUCUUGUUUAUAUUAAAGAAACUAGUUUUGUACCCAUUCGUGGAAUGGGAAUUGUUUAAAAAUAAUAAAUUAUUUAGUGUAGUUCAUAAAACUAUUUGCAUAAAAUACAAACGUAUUGUAUAAUCUAUUAUAACCUUUCUUAAAUACAUUACUAUGUGCACAUUGUUAUUCAAAAAUAGUCUUAUAAUGUAAAUUUAAACAUCUAAUUCAGUGAUUAAUAAUUCAAAAAAAAAUAUUCGACGAUAUGAUAACAUUCAAAAACUUGAAAAUAGGCAAGAUCAAUCUUGGCUGAUCUUCUGUAAACAAAAGAAUGGCCAACCAGUUACCAAAACAUCAAUUUUGGUACUUAAUAUAAAUGGCUUAAAGGUUAAUGUGAAAAGAAAAGAAGCCGAAUGAAAUAUUAAUAAAAGAUCAGAAUUCAGAAUCAAUCAUGUCAUAGGAACACAGCAACCUUCCAAAUCUGUUCACGGCUAAUAGAAGCAAAACGAAAACGUAAGAUGUAUUUUGCUCCUAAGUCAAAAAUAUAAAAAAUCUAAAUAGUCUGAUGUAUAUUGCAUGACAUGAACUGCUGUAUGACAAUGAACUUGAUGCCUUGCCAUUUAUGUAAUCAGUGACACCUUCUUGUUCUUUAGAAGCUUUCUACCAAAGUCUAAAAAAAACAUUGAAAACUGCACAAAAUUUUUUUAACCCCAGAAACCUAGAAAAUAAAAAAAAAUUAGUACAUUGUUGAAGACAAUUAAUAAAUUAUCAAAGGCAAUUAAAAAAUCUUGUGAAAACACAUAGUUUAAAAGGCCACUUUUAAAUCACUAACCAAAAAGCAAUAUGUGUUCUACUUGAAUUGAAAAGUGAAUCCAUACAUUGAAAUAACAAAUUAAUUACAAAAGCCUUGUCAGAAAUAAAAAUCAAACCGUAACUUUUGAAGACUUACUUAGAAAAUUCAAAUUCAAUGACCUAGCUAUGAAGAAGGUGUAGGAAAUUAUAGACCACAUACAGCGAGCAUAAACAAAGUCCAAAUGCGGUCCUUGAGGGAAUAAAAACGAAAUUCCAAAUCUGAUCCUUGCAUUGAAGUUAAAAAAAAAGAAAAACUUUCCAAAAAAAUUGGUGGAAAAAGUGUAAACAUUUUCACUGCUUGAUAAAGUAAUGAAUAAUAGAUCGAAAACCAUAUAUAUGAGUAAAAAUGUAGAGUAACUGCGAUAGCGAUAAUCUGAUAAAAAUAAUCUAAUAUUCGAAUUGAUAUUUCGAACUUUUGAGUUGAAGAUGAGAGAGAGUUAAAAACAUAAUUCAAAAUUAUUUAUAUUAAUUCCCAGGAAAUUUAGGCUUGACGAUUAGGGUUAAGGAAAAAAAAAGGUGAAAGAAUGAAAGAGAUAAUUAUGAAAGAAUUAUCUAGAAUUGUAAAAGUUAAAAAAAAAAAAGGAUGGAAUAGCGUAGGUUAUUAGGGGUUAACUCAUAAAGCGCGUUGCACCUACUUGCCCUGUCGUUAAGCCAUGUAGGAAAGAGAUAAAAUAAAAGGAUAAAAAUGAGAAUACGACUUUAUUAUAUAUACUAGUUUUGUACCCGUUCGUUGAACGGGAAUCUUCAAAAAAUAAUAAAUUAUUUAGUCAAUUUUAUAAAAAUGUUGAUAUGAAAUACAAACUUAGUGUAUAUUUUACUAUAACCUUUCUUAAGUAUAUUACUAUAUGCACAUUGUAAUAUAAAAUAUUCUUAUAAUAUAAAUUUGAACAUCUAAUUCAGUAAAUAAUAAUUUAAAAAUGGAAAAAAUAACAUUCAACAAUACCAUAACAUUCAAAAACUUGAAAAUAAAUAAAAAAUGCAGUAAAUAGUAUCAAAUAAUAUUCUACUCUUCAGAAACUUGUUUUUGUUUUUCAUCUGUUUGAACAUUCUCCUCGAUUUGUCCGUGCAAAUCAGCAUUUAUUGAUUUUCCAUUAUCACUGCAUGAUAGCAAAGCAGGAUAACUAAGUAUAAGAAAAUAAAUGAUUUAUCGCAUUCAAGAUUGUGUAUAACAACACGUAAAGAUUAUAAUUUAAGAAAGUAAAAUAGUAUAUUAAAUUUACCUUCUCAUGCAAAUCUUUUUAUGAGGAUUCCCUUCCUCUGUGGUUUUUGUUGAACCCUCUAAUGAAUGAUUCAUAUGAAGUGUAUUGAAGUGUUGUUGAUUAGAAUCAUCCGUUAUACUAAUUGAGAUCUGGGAAGAAGAUGCUUCAGGUUGGUAUUGGUUGUCGGUUCCACCAAUCUGAUAAUAAUUUAUCAAAAUUAAAGGCAAAAAUAUUAUGUGAGAUAUAAUAUGUGAAAUAUAAGAGAAAUUUAUUACUAAUUCGAGAUAUAUUACUAAUCCUAUGUGUUCAUAAAAAAACAAACAGAAAAUAAAAACAAAAAAAAAACAAAAUUCAAGAUAUAUUACUAAACUUUUACAAUUGAAGAUCAAUAUGUCAUUUAAAAAAAUAUAUGUAUUAAAAGAAGAUGUACCUGAUAAUCAAGAGGAGUGGAAAUCCAAAAUCGAUGUUUUAAUGUGCCAACCGCUUGCACUGAAAAUACUUAACCAUGAAUUUGAUGCUUGAAAUCAAUAUAUUAGAGGCUAUAUGUAAUGUAGGCAUAAGAAAUAAGAAUUGAUAAGAAUAUAAAAAGAUAUUGAUAAGAACAUUAAAUGUAGGUUUAUCUUGAUUUAAGUUGUUUAAAGUACGUAACUUUGGAUAAGAAAUAAGAAUCCUAUAAUAUUAAGAAUUCUUAUGGGAAAUAAAAGUGCGUUCUCAAGAUAGAUUUUACCUAUUUUGAAAGACCACCUCAACUAUAUCGAGUCCUUUAAGCGCAUGGACUCCUAUGGUGUGGGCCCACACACUAAAUACUCCCUACCAUCUGAGCAGAGAUGUAUUGUGAAUCCUAUAACCUAACAAUGAGUAUAACCUGCAUGUUUUGAUUAACAACGAACGGGUUUAUAAGAAUUUACAAACCUGUGCUCAAAUAGGAAUUUAUAUUUGACCGUAUAGGUCAAAUACAUAUAGUUAAUUGGAUUCAAUUAACUUUUUGUUUUCCAUAAAUUUCGUGCUAUGCACUAUGUCUUGAUAACGCACUUAAUAAUAAAAUUUAUUAAGAAUCUUAUUUCCAACAUCAGAUAUUGAGUUCUGUUAUUAAUGGUUCAUUUUGAAAUUUGUUACUUUUCUACUUCUUCUAGUGAUAACAAUUCUUAUUUAUUUCGGUUCCCUAUGCAGUACACAAAUUAUUGGCAUGAAUUUGGAGAUAUAUCUAAUAGAGAUAUUUAUGUCUCUUUUAUUUAUAUCGCAUUACUUUCCAAUUUCAUUUUUGGGUAAGAAAUAAGAAUCAUAUAAUAUUAAAAAUUCUUAUAGGAAAUAAGAAUUGAUAUAUAUCUAAACAAAAAAGAAGCAAGUCACAUAGGAAACUACUUGCCGUCUUGUUAAGCCACGUAGGAAAGAGAAAAUAUUAAGGCCUAAGGGAUAAAAAUGAGAAUACGACUUUAUUAUAUAUAUAUAUAUAUAUAUAUAUAUAUAUAUAUAUAUAUAUAUAUAUAUAUAUAUAUAUAAUGGGUUAGUGUUUUUUUUUUUUGAAUGUGUGACAUGGGUUUUGGAGCUCAAGUCCAGUACCUUUAUUAGGUUUAAAUUUGUAAAAUGAAUUGGACUAGGCUGCUCUUUUCAAUAAGACAACUUUGCUUAUUUUUCUUGGGUCAAAGUGAUGCGGCCCAAAUGCGUAAAAAUUGCCCAACAUUGUUUAAUAUGUAAAAUUUUUUAUAAUUUCACCCCUAAUCUUUUAAGUAAUUUUAUUGUAACCCUAAAACUUUGGAUUUCUCUCAUUUAGGCCCUUAUUUAAAUUGCAUUUGGCCCCUAAACUUUAUUUUUAUUUACUUUAACCCUUAAUCUUUUUAAGAAUUGUAAUUUAACUCCAAAAACUUUCUAAUUUUUACAAUUUAGGCCCUAAUAAUUUUUUGAUUUCUUAAUUACAAUUGUUUCUUUUCUUUAAUUGCUAAUUAUGCUUUAUUUAAUUUGUAAAUUCUAGUUAUUUUAUGUUUAUUUACUUUUUUUGCAAUAAUAAAGGGAAUUUAGUAUAUGUUUACAUUUUCUUUUAAAGUGUUGUUAAUUAAAUUGGUGCAUUGAACCGUUGAUUGAUUUUGAAAAAGUAGACAAUUCUCUCUUUCCCUUACUUAGUCUUACUUCAAAAAGGAGGUAUCCCUAUUAUCUUUUGAAUUCCUUUUAUGUGCUCCUAUGUAUUUAUAUGAUUUUAUGUGUUUUUCUUUUAUUCAUUUUACUUUAAGUUUUUAUUCAUUUUAUGUUUGUUUAAUUUAAAUUUUAUGAUUAAUUGAAGGAUAUUUAAAUGCCCAAAUUUAAAUCUGAUCUUUCUCCCCUUCUCUCUCUCUAUUGGAGCUAGACGAAGGAAAACAACGCGGUAGGUGGUGUCGGCUCUCAAAUCUCAAAAUUUGCUCAAGUCAUGCUUCUGUGGGAAUUGGGAAUACGUGAAUGAUGAGGUAAUACUCCCUCCCUUUUUUUAUAACUGACGUUUAAGGUUUUGCACACCAAUUAAGAAAAGUUUUUCAUUGUUUAAAUCUAUACACUACUUUCCUUUUGUACCCUCAUUAAUUGUCCAAUUCACCCAUGUUUUCUCUCACUAGAGUAUUAAAUGGUGCUGUUUUACUAGGCCAAAAGUAAUGCAAACUAACUCCCACCAAUUAUGAAAAGAGAGAUAAAAGGGUAAAAUUGUGAAAAAAUAAUUAAUGCUGCAUGGGGAUAAUAAAACGACAGAUAAAAGUACUUAAGAGCAAAUUUCUUAAACGUCAGUUAUAAAAAAAGGGAGGGAGUAUUUUGGAAGGUGAGGCGAGCUUAUCAAAGGCAGCAACGGAGUAUGAAUGUUGAUGGGGGAAGGAUAUGGUGUUAAACCUCUGCACAACUCAGCAAUUCCAAGCCAGCAUAUAUACCUACCUUAUCUUAUAUCUAACUAUUAUAUGAGAUCGAGUUGAUUUUUGUUGUAACAACUUCAAUAUCUCCCGUGUGGCACAAUGAGAAGAGAAGCAUGAGGAGCUUUCUUUGUUUUCUUCUUUUACUUUCAAUACUCUUUUGGGUCAAUGCUGAUAUAUAAAUUUUUCUCCUCCCUUUUAAUUAUUUUGCAGACCCAAUGAACCAACCUAUUCAAUGAUCAUUUAGGUCAGUAAUAGCUGAUUAUUUAUUACCUCUUUAGUCAAGAAUAAAUAAUUAAUUGAGAAAUAUUUGAUAUUAAAAAUUAAAUUUAUCAAUUAUUGCUUUGAAUAAAUGUAUAAGCAUAACAAAUUUAAGUGUAAAUUCAAGGUUAACGUUUAGAAUGCAACCUUAUUUUUCGAUAGAUUUUUAAAAUUAUUUGACUUUGAGGGAAAAUAAAAUACCAAAAUUAAUAUUUUUUUUUUCUGAUGAGAGCAGACACAUCAUGACAAGGGUUUUAAAUGCUAGAUUAAUUAUUUAUAAAGCAUAUAUAACUGCAUCGCCUACUUCAAUUUAUAAUUUUAUUUAAUUUUAUAAACACUCUCCUUAUUCUUAAGGAUUAGUGGCAAUAAGAGAUAAAAAAAAUUGAUAACUUUUUCAUAUUAUGAAGAAAUUGGGUAAGAGAUGAUUUAACUGAUGGCAUAAAAAUGAAAACAAAUAUGACAGUUAUGAGCUUUAUUCAUUUAGAAAGCAAUUUUUUAGGUUUUUAUUUGUUUGGGAUUUAUUGGAAAAAAUAUGAUAAAACACAUAUUUUUACGGUGUGGGAAAAAUAUUAAGAUGUAUAAAUCAUAUCUCUAAUCAAUAUUUAAAAAGGAAUAUGGAAAAAAUGAUUUUUGUUGCAAUAAGACUGCAAAACGUCGUGCUAGGAAAGAUGUAUAUAAUCUAUUUUACAUAAUUAAAAUGAAACAGUCAAUCUAAGAAUUAUUUUAGCCAAGUCGUAUUUAAUCACAAAGCAAAUUUUAAGGUUUUUAUUUAUUUGAGAUUUUUCGCUUUUUUUUAAAUAAUUUUGAUAUUUUGCUUAACUUUGGACCAUUAGAUUUGCUAUGGUUGAUUGCUUUCCUUUUGUAAUCGUUAGAUUGUUCAAUGGUCAGACAACUUACUCAUCUAUUUUCGUAAAAUUCAAAAUAGUUGACUACUCUUUUGUACAUAUCGUUCCUGGUUUCCAUUUUCUUCUUGUACAAACAAUCUUUACAAAUCAUAGGCCAUUAUUUUACUUCCUUCAAUGAGUUGUUACGAUUAGAUGUUUUCCAUUUACCUAAGAGUUGGGUUGAUCUUUGUAUAAAUCACAGGCCGCUAGUUUCCACUUGAUUAAUUGUUCUUGUACUUUCAUCAUACAUUCUCCAUUAGAUUGGAUUAUGAAUCAAUGGAGUGGUUUGCUUAUCAUUGACUACAUUUUUAGAUGAAAAUUUUGACAACAAUAAAUCAAGAGGCUACAUUUGACAAAGUAGAUUAAAGCUUAGAAGAUUUUAUUCAUUUUAUUUGUUCUCAUAGCUUCCUUCCUAGUAAUUUUUGUAAAACAAAGAUCACAAGGUGUUUAGCUUCUCCUUCAAUAACUUAUCACCAAUACAACAUAAUUAAAACCAAAAACAUUUUAAAGUUCAUAGAAAUCAAUAUAUUUUUCAAGAAUACACAUUGUAUUUACAAGUUAAACAAAAAGAAACAAAUGUGAAUUUAUUUCUAUACAAUGCAAUUACUAAUAAAUUCAACAAAACAACUUAUUAUUUCCUGUGAAAAAUAUAACUACAACUGCUACAAAGUUAUUGUUUCAUCAAUUACUAUCAAUGAAUUUAUUCCAAUGGGCACCGGCUGGGUGAAUUUCUCGGAAUAAUGUUAAAACCAAAAAUUAUCACAAAAGUGGUGUUUCUAGCUGAAGGGUCGCUGCAAAUAGGAAGUGAGGCUUCAUAAAAAAAUUGUUUUAAUUUUCACCUUUUUUUGCCAACAAAGUUAAUGGAGUGGUUUUUUUUUUUUUUUUUGGCAAAAGCUUCAUGAGCGACGAAGAAUAUUAUAUUAAGCUCAUGUGCGGCGAUUUCUUUGUUUAUUUUUUUCGUAAAAUCCUAAACUUAACCCUAAAACCCUAAUCCCUAAACCCUAACACUAAAACCUUAAUAUGUAAACCCAAACCAUGGAAGCCUAAAAUUUAAUUUACCUACAAGAAUUAUGCUAAUUUCAUAAGCGGUGAUUAAGCAUGCUAUAAAAAUUCGUUAAGGUAUCGGUUGAACAUACAAAACUAAUUAAAAAUGAAAUUUGGCCAAAUCAUCCAUUUUUUAAUACUUUAAUUUUAAUGUUAAUUUAAAUAACGAUAAAUAAUACAGCAUUCAACGAUAAAAUGGGUACAAUAAUUAAUAAAAACUUGAAUGAUAAUAAAAUGAGAGAUUUGACAAGAAAAAUUUUUAAAAUCUGAAUAUCACCUGCCAACACGCCUCUUACCUUUAUCACAUGGAGUGGUGGAGUAGCCACAUUUCCAUAGGUAUGGGAGUGCGUAUCUCACUGAAAUGACCUUCGAAAAGCUGGAACGGUUGGUGGUGUGAAGAAAUCUUUUUUUUGGCCAAUUGCUGCAGGGACUUGAAUUAUCAUACAGGUGUACUAGUCCCUGCUGCAGGCCAAUUGCUGCAUCAGAUUAACUGUUUUUAAGAAUCCUAUAGUGAGACAAUUGUUACAUGAAGAGAAUAAUAAUCCAAGAUUUUUCUACUAUAAGAUGGUCAUCGACAUUCGCAAUUUUUCCACCAUAAAACUAAGGAUAGAAUAUUUGUCUCUGUCCAAUGUAUAGAUUAUUAUCGUUCAGGUUGACAAAGUUUCAAUGGAUUAAUCUUUCAAGUCGGAUACCUUUAUGGUGCGAACCUGCCUAUGGUAGGAAGACGGAGACGUUAAAUUGUUGUACAGCGCGUGGAGAGGAAAUAUACGAGAACCGUCUGCGAAUACAACCAAAAAGCACACUGACUUCCGUACGAGUUGGGGUAGGAAGUGUUUUUGCAUGUUAAAACUAGAGGCAUUUAUAUAAUUGUAAAUGUACCCAUUACGACUGGAAAAAUGUUGCAAAUGCCUUGGACAAAAAAUGUGUAUAAAGAAGGUACCGAAAUUUUAAGAAAUAAUAAAUGAUUAUCGCACACGUGUGGGGGAUAAUAAUUUGGAAGAAGGAAAAGUGGAGGUAAACGAAAGGAUUCAAGCCUUCAUUAUAUUUAUAUACAUAUAUAAAUUUAGUGACCAAGUGUUCAGCUUAAGCAUCCGGAAAAAUGGUCCCAUGACUAUCGUUAUGGUAAAAAAACUUAUUAUAAUAGGUUAUAAUAAAUUUAGCAACCAUUUGAUUACCUGUUGGACUUAUCCACUUGAAUAGAAUUAUGCGUAAAAAUAAGGAAGUAAGUUUGUCAUCUAAAAUAGUAAGUUAACGUAAUAAACUAGUAAUUUUUACAGUCCAAAACGUGAAUUGAAAGUAUUACGAAACAUACUUUUUAAAGAGAUAAAUUACAAUUUUUAUCCUCAAUAUACUUUUGAGAGAGUAAGUUUAUUUGAAGUAAUAGUAUGUUUUUAUACAUAAAUAAUCAUUUUUACUUAUAACAUAGUAAAUUUGAUUAAUGACAAAAACAUGCUAAUUUAUGGCAAAAAUUCUCUAUUAUGCUUAAAAAACUUAUGCCAAGCCCAUAUUUUAUUAUUAUUUAAAAUAGCACUAAAAUAUUUUAUUAAUGAUUAAAACUGAGUACCUUACUUAGUAAGUAAUGUUAAUAUACUUGUAUAAAUACUUGAUCAUAUGUGAAAAAAUUAGUAUUUUUGAAAUUUAUACAUAAUUAAAUUUUUUCUGUUGCAGUUUAAAACAAAAAGUAAGCGAAAUUUUUUUUGCGCAGAGCUCCAAAAUCCACAAGUCCAAAUAGUUAGUCUGAAAGGGAAAGAUACAGCUGAAUAGCAUUGUUUAAAGUACCAAAUAAAUAGAUGUAAAAUGCUAGUUAAAAACUGGUACUUUGACAUAUAAUAAAGGAAAGUCAUAAAAAUCAGGUCAUUUAUGGAAAAAAUUUUCAUUAAUAAAAAUUCCAGCUCUUCACGGCUUUCUUACCAGUCUUCCAAAACAUGAGCAAAGUGCCAAUAAUUGAAAUAGUAAUCUUUUCGAUUUAUACAGAAUUAAUUUAUUUUUUGCAAAUUAAAAAAAAAUAAUUGAAAUUUUUUAUCAGAAAGCACAUAAGUCAAAAGGAUUGGUCUAAAAGGGAAAGGAAUAGCAGAUAUAUACAGUACUUGUAUUUCACGUUCGAAGGACUAUAGUGCUGUUUUUGACAAUACCCCGAAAAAUAUGCAAUGCAAACGGAACCGAUUUUUCAUUAUUUAAAAUAUCAAAUAUGUGAUUGUGUUUUAACUGUUAUCUAUUGGUAUUCUAAAGUAUAAUUUUUUCAUCUAAUACCACCUCUUUAACACGCGUUUUCCCUUAAAAAAUUUAUUUAUUGGAUGAAAAAAAAUAAACCUUUUAUGCAAUAAAACACUAGCUCUUUAUGCCUUUUCUCCAUUAUAAGAACAGAGUACUCAUUUUUCCCUAAAAAAAUUAAUGGAUAAAAUAAAAUAAAAUAAAAACCGAUUUUAGGUUAAAACACUAGCUCUUUAUGACUUUUCUCCCUUAUAAGAGCACAGUACCCAUUUUCCUCAUCAAAAAUUUUAUUUAUCGGAUAAAAUAAAAAUAAACCUGUUUUUCCAUAAAACACCAGCUCUUUAUGACAUUUCUCCAUUAUAAGAAUAAAGUACCCAUUUUCUCACAAAAAUUUAUUUAUCGCCUAAACUUAAAAUAAACCCAUUUUUUAAUAAAAUACUAACUCUAGCACUUUCCUCCAUUAUCAGAACACAGUAUCGAUUUUUGCAUAAACAAAAUUUAUUUAUCGACUAAACUAAAAUGAAAUCCGUUUUUCAAUAAAACACUAGCUCUUUAUGAACUUUCUCCAUUAUAAGAACAAAGUACCCAUUUUGUCAUUAAAAAAUUUAUUUAUCGGCUAAACUAAAAAUAAGCCCAUUUUUUAAUACAAUACUACCUCUUUAUCACGUUCCUCCGUUAUAAGAACACAGUACCCAUUUUUGCAUAUAAAAAUUUUAUUUAUUGGAUAAAAUAAAAUUAAAUCUGUUUUUCAAUAAAACACUAGUUUUAUGGCUUUCCUCCGUUAUGAGAAUAGAGUACCCAUUUUUCAUAAAUAAAUUUAUUUAUUGGAUAAAAUAAAAAUAAAUCCAUUUUUCAAUAAAGCACCAGUUACUUUUGGCUUUCCUCCAUAAAUUAUCUAUUUUCAUACGUUAAUUUAUUAGUUAGAUAAAAUCAGAAUGAAAUUAGGUUGAACAAUAAAUUACCCUUUACAAUGAAAUUGAAAUACAGAAAAGUAACCCAUAGCAAGUUUUAACUCCAUUUCCAAUACAAAAAUAUGCUACAAAUUCUUUUGGCAACCGCAAGACACCUCAUUCAUAAAGUCUCAAGAAACCUUUCCAACCAUUAUGCAAAAGCAACUUAUUCAUUCUAAAUUUUUAGCAUCAAUUUGAUUAUCAGUUGGACGUAUCCACCUAAAUAGGAUAAUAUGUAUUUUCUAGGAUACAAGACAUAAUAGGAAUUAAACUUGCAUUAAUGUAGACAUAACAAAAUGAGAGAAAUAGCAUAACAAUUAAUACAAUAAUAAGAAUAACAGAGUUGGUAUAACAAAAUUAGUUUAGUCUACAAAUUUAUUUUUUUCUGCAAAUAGUUCGACAAAAAAAAAGAAUUUUAGAUAAGGAGCUUUCCAAAUUGUCAAAAGUUCGAAUACUAUUUUAUUACAAUUUUACAUUUCUAAAAUUAAGAAAUGUUUAUCUCACAACAAAUCCUUUAAUUGCUCGUACAAAUCCUAUAAUCAUGCUCAUGUUUUUCCCACAUUUCCCUCACAUUUUCCCUACUAUCCAAUAAAAUUAAAACUCUCGAAUUUUAACUAACAGAUAAUAACCAACCAUGUCAAAUUAAUAUCUGCAAUUUCCAAUUAACAUCUCACAUUUACUGCUGACUUUACUGAUAGUAUUAACUAACAGUUAUUACUGACAUUCACAACUCACACUUACCACAUUACUCAUAGUAAUAACUAACUGUUAAUUUAAGAUAUUCGCAACAGCGAAAGUCACAUAUCCAAAAUUUAAGAGCAUGUUGAAAUAAUAUAGUUUACUCUCAGAAUCAUUCACAAAACUGCUGCAAACUAAUCCAAUUGACCCAUUUAAUUUGCCAUCAUAUAAAUUCAAUACAGUGAAAAAAUUACGCAUCAUGCAUUUCUUCACUAAGGAUAAAUCUCAGUUACAAAUAUUUCAGUCAGUGACAAAGCCAAGAUUUUUUUUCUAGAGAGGCUAAAAUGGAUACUCAAUUUUUAUAAUGGAGAAAAGCCAUAAAGAGUUAGUGUUUUAUUGAACAAUAGAUUUAUUUUAAUUUCAUCCGAUAAAUAGAUUUGUUUAUGCAAAAAUGGGUACUCUGUUCUUAUAAUGACGGAAAGCCAUAAAGAGCUAGUGUUUUAUUGAAAAAUCAAAUUUUCAUGUAUUUUAUCCGACAAAUAAAUUGGUUUAUGGGAAAAUUGGUGUUAAAGAGGUGGAAUUUUUCUAGAGGGGCUGAAAUGGGUACUCUGUUUUUAUAUUGGAGGAAAGGCAUAAAGAGUUAGUGUUUUAUUGAACAAUGAAUUUAUUUUUAUUUCAUUCGAUAAAUAAAUUUGUUUAUGCAAAAAUGAGUACUCUGUUCUUAUAAUUGAGGAAAACUAUAAACAGCUACUGUUUUAUUCAAAACCGAAUUUUCAUGUAUUUUAUCCGAUAAAUGAAUUGGUUUAUGGAAAAAUUGGUGUUAAAGAGGUGAAAUUUGAUGAAAAAAUGAUACUUUACGAUACCAAUGGAUAACAAUUAUAACACAAUCACAGAUUUGACAUUUUAAAUAGUGAAGAAUCGGUUCCGUUUAGAUUACAUAUUAUUCGGGAUAUUUUUCAAAAAUAACACUACAGUCCUUCGAACAUAAACUAUAGGUACUGUACGUAUAUGCUAUUCUUUUCCCUUUUACACCAUUCCUUUGACUUAUGUGCUUUCUCAUAAAAGAUUCUCAUUCAUUUUUUAAAUGGAAAAAAAUUAAUGAAAUAUGUAUAAUUCGAAUAAAAUACUAUUUUAAUUAUUGCCAUUUUGCUUAUACGUUGCAAGACUGAUAAGAAAAUCGUAAAGUGUUGCUAUUUUUAUGAAUGACAACUUUUCCCGUAAAUGGCCUGCUCAUUAUGUCUUUCCUUUAUUAUAUGUCAACGCACCUGCUUUUAAUGAGCAUUUUACAUCUAAUUUAUUUAGUACUAUAAACAAUGAUAUUCAGAAUGUUUCUUUCCCCUUUAGACCAACAACUUUGAUUUGUGGAUUUUUGUACUCUGAGAAAAAAGAUUUUCGCUUACCUUUUUUUUAAACUGCAAAAGAAAAAAUCAAUUUUUCCCAUAAAUCUCAAAAAUGCUUAUUUAUACACAUACCAUCAAGUAUGUAUACAAGUAUAAUAACUGUACUGACUAAGUAACGUACUCAGUUUUAAUCAUUAAUAAUACAUUUUUGUGUUAUUUCAAAUAACUCUAAAAUAUGGGCUACGUAUAAGUUUUUUAAGCAUAAUACAAUAUUAUGACCAUAAAUUAGCAUGUUUUUGUCAUUAAUCAAAUUUACUAUGUUAUAACUAAAACUCACUAUUUCUGUAUAAAAACAUAUUUUUACUUCAAAUAAACUUACUCCCUCAAAAGUAUAUUUGGGAUAUACUACGGUGGGAACCUGCCUAUAGUAGGAAGGUCGGCAGAGAGCGAUACGUGUUGACGUUAUAUACAGUCUAAACGGAGACGUUAAAUUGUUGCACAACGCGUGAAGAGGAAAUAUACGAGAAUCGUCUGCGGAUGCAACCAGAAAGCACACUGACUUCCGUACGAGUUGGGCCAGGAAGUGUUAUUGCAUGUUAAAAUUAGAGGCAUUUAUGUAUUUGCAAAUGUACCCAUUACCAAUGGAAAAAUGUUGCAAAUGCCUUGGACAAAAAAUGUGCGUAAAGAAGGUAUCGAAAUUUUAAGAAAUAAUAAAUGAUUAUCGCACACGCGUGGGGGAUAAUAAUUUGGAAGAAGGAAAAGUGGAGGUAAACGAAAGGAUUCAAGCCUUCAUUAUAUUUAUAUACAUAUAUAAAUUUAGUACCCAAGUGUUCAGCUUAAGCAUCCGAGAAAAUGGUCCCAUAACUAUCGAUAAGGUAAACAACACAAUUUUAGACAUGAUAUAAUAGGUUCUAAAAAUUUUAGCGACCAUUUGAUUACCCGUUAGAUCUAUCCACUUGAAUAGGAUUAUGGGUAAAAAUAAUGGAGUAAAUUUGUCAUUCAAAAUAGUAAGUUAACGUAAUAAAUUAGUAACUUUUACAGUCGAAAAGGUAAAUUGUAAGUAAUAUGAAACAUACUUUUUAAAGAGAUAAAUUGUAAUAGUAUAUCCCAAAUAUACUUUUGAGAAAGUAAGUUUAUUUGAAGUAAAAAUAUGUUUUUAUACAGAAAUAGUGAGUUUUAGUUAUAACAUAGUAAAUUUGAUUAAUGACAAAAACAUGCUAUUUUAUGGCCAUAAUAUUGUAUUAUGCUUAAAAAACUUAUACGUAGCCCAUAUUUUAGAGUUAUUUGAAAUAACACAAAAAUGUAUUAUUAAUGAUUAAAACUGAGUACGUUACUUAGUCAGUACAGUUAUUAUAGUUGUAUAUAUACUUGAUGGUAUGUGUAUAAAUAAGCAUUUUGAGAUUUAUGGGAAAAUUGAUUUUUUCUUUUGCAGUUUAAAAAAAAGGUAAGCGAAAAUCUUUUUUCUCAGAGCACAAAAAUCCACAAGUCAAAGUUGUUGGUCUAAAGGGGAAAGAAACAUUCUGAAUAUCAUUGUUUAUAGUACUAAAUAAAUUAGAUGUAAAAUGCUCGUUAAAAGCAGGUGCGUUGACAUAUAAUAAAGGAAAGACAUAAAGAGCAGGCCAUUUACGGGAAAAGUUGUCAUUCGUAAAAAUAGCAAUGCUUUACGAUUUUCUUAUCAGUCUUGCAACUAUGAGCAAAAUGGCAAUAAUUAAAAUAGUAUUUUAUUCGAAUUAUAUAUAUUUCAAUAAUUUUUUUCCAUUUAAAAAAUGAAUGAGAAAGCACAUAAGUCAAAGGAAUGGUGUAAAAGGUAAAAGAAUAACAUAUACGUACAGUAUUUAUAGUUUAUGUUCGAAGGACUGUAGUGCUAUUUUUGAAAAAUAUCCCGAAAAAUAUGUAAUCGAAACAGAACCGAUUCUUCACUAUUUAAAAUGUCAUAUCAGUGAUUGUGUUGUAACUGUUAUCCAUUGGUAUCGUAAAGUAUCAUUUUUCCAUCAAAUUUCACCUCUUUAACACCAAUUUUUCCAUAAACCAAUUCAUUUAUCGGAUAAAAUACAUGAAAAUUUGAUUUUGAAUAAAAUAGUAGCUGUUUAUGGCUUUCCUCCAUUAUAAGAACAGAGUACCCAUUUUUGCAUAAACAAAUUUAUUUAUCGGAUAAAAUAAAAAUAAAUUUAUUGUUCAAUAAAACACUAACUCUUUAUGUCUUUCCUCCAAUAUAAAAACAGAGUACUCAUUUCAGCCCCUUUAGAAAAAUUUCACCUCUUUAACACCAAUUUUCUCAUAAACCAAUUUAUUUGUCGGAUAAAAUACAUGAAAAUUCGAUUUUUCAAUAAAACACUAGCUCUUUAUGACUUUCCGCCAUUAUAAGAAUAGAGUACUCAUUUUUGCAUAAAUAAAUCUAUUUAUCGGAUGAAAUUAAAAUAAAUCCAUUGUUCAAUAAAAUACUAAUUCUUUAUGGCUUUUCUCCAUUAUAAAAACUGAGUAUCCAUUUUAGCCUCUCUAGAAAAAAAAUCUUGGCUUUGUCACUGACUGAAAUAUUUGUAACUGAGAUUUAUCCUUAGUGAAAAAAUGUAUGAUACGUAAUUUUUUCACUGUAUUGAAUUUAUAUGAUGGCAAAUUAAAUGGGUCAAUUGGAUUAGUGUGCAGCAGUUUUGUGAAUGAUUCUGAGAGUAAACUAUAUUAUGGCAAUAAAAUACAUUGAAUUGUGAAAAUUAUUAUUUCAACAUGCUCCUAAAUUUUGGAUAUGUGACUUUCGCUGUUGCGAAUAUCUUAAAUUAACAGUUAGUUAUUACUAUGAGUAAUGUGGUAAGUGUAAGUUGUGAAUGUCAGUAAUAACUGUUAGUUAAUACUAUCAGUAAAGUCAGCAGUAAAUGUGAGAUGUUAAUUGGAAAUUGCAGAUAUUAAUUUGACAUGGUUGGUUAUUAUCUGUUAGUUAAAAUUCGGGAGUUUUAAUUUUAUUGGUUAGUAGGGAAAAUGUGAGGGAAAUGUGGGAAAAACAUGAGCAUGAUUACAGGAUUUGUACGAGCAAUUAAAGGAUUAGUUGUGAGAUAAACAUUUCUUAAUUUUAGAAAUGUAAAAUUGUAAUAAAAUAGUAUUCGAACUUUUGACAAUUUGGAAAGCUCCUUAUCUAAAAUUCUCUCUGCAAUACUUAUAGACAGAUAUAGAUGUCUUUUUUUUUUGUGGUUGAAUGUCAUAUUCACGAACUAUCUGCAGAAAAAAAUAAAUUUGUAGACUAAACUAAUUUUGUUAUACCAACUCUGUUAUUCUUAUUAUUGUAUUAAUUGUUAUGCUAUUUCUCUCAUUUUGUUAGGUCUACAUUAAUGCAAGUUUAAUUCCUAUUAUGUCUUGUGUCCCAGAAAAUACAUAUUAUCCUAUUCAGGUGGAUACGUCCAACUGAUAAUCAAAUUGAUGCUAAAAAUUUAGAAUGAAUAAGUUGCUUUUGCAUAAUGGUUGGAAAGGUUUCUUGAGACGUUAUGAAUGAGGUGUCUUGCGGUUGCCAAAAGAAUUUGUAGCAUAUUUUUGUAUUGGAAAUGGAGUUAAAACUUGCUAUGGGUUACUUUUCUGUAUUUCAAUUUCAUCGUAAAGGGUAAUUUAUUGUUCAACCUAAUUGCAUUCUGAUUUUAUCUAACUAAUAAAUUAACGUAUGAAAAUAGAUAAUUUAUGGAGGAAAGCCAUAAGUAGCUGAUGCUUUAAUGAAAAAUGGAUUUAUUUUUAUUUUAUCCAAUAAAUAAAUUUAUUUAUGAAAAAUGGGUACUCUAUUCUCAUAAUGGAGGAAAACCAUAAAGCUAGUGUUUUAUUGGAAAACAGAUUUAAUUUUAUUUUAUCCGAUAAAUAAAAUUUUUAUAUGCAAAAAUGGGUACUGUAUUCUUAUAACGGAGGAACGUGAUAAAGAGGUAGUAUUUUAUUGAAAAAUGAGUUUAUUUUUAAUUUAGCCGAUAAAUAAAUUUUUUAAUGACAAAAUGGGUACUUUGUUCUUAUAAUGGAGAAAAUUCAUAAAGAGUUAGUGUUUUAUUGGAAAACGGAUUUCAUUUUAGUUUAGUCGAUAAAUAAAUUUUGUUUAUGCAAAAAUCGAUACUGUGUUCUGAUAAUGGAGGAAAGUGCUAGAGUUAGUAUUUUAUUAAAAAAUGGGUUUAUUUUAAGUUUAGGCGAUAAAUAAAUUUUUGUGAGAAAAUGGGUACUUUAUUCUUAUAAUGGAGAAAUAUCAUAAAGAGCUGGUGUUUUAUGAAAAAACAGGUUUAUUUUUAUUUUAUCCGAUAAAUAAAAUUUUAAAUUUUUGAUGAGGAAAAUGGGUACUGUGCUCUUAUAAGGGAGAAAAGUCAUAAAGAGCUAGUGUUUUAACCUUAAAUCGGUUUUUAUUUUAUUUUAUUUUAUCCAUUAAUUUUUUUAGGGAAAAAUGAGUACUCUGUUCUUAUAAUGGAGGAAAGGCAUAAAGAGCUAGUGUUUUAUUGCAUAAAAGGUUUAUUUUUUUUCAUCCAAUAAAUAAAUUUUUUAAGGGAAAACAGGUGUUAAAGAGGUGGUAUUGGAUGAAAAAAUGAUACCUUAGAAUACCAAUGGAUAACAGUUAAAACACAAUCACAGAUCUGGUAUUUUAAAUAAUGAAGAAUCGGUUCCGUUUGCAUUGCAUAUUUUUCGGGGUAUUGUCAAAAACAGCACUGUAGUCCUUCGAACGUGAAAUACAAGUACUGUACAUAUCUGCUAUUCCUUUCUCUUUUAGACCAAUCCUUUUGACUUAUGUGCUUUCUGAUAAAAAAUUUCAAUUAUUUUUUUUAAUUUGCAAAAAAUAAAUUAAUUCUGUAUAAAUCGAAAAGAUUACUAUUUCAAUUAUUGGCACUUUGCUCAUGUUUUGGAGGACUGGUAAGAAAGCCGUGAAGAGCUGGAAUUUUUAUUAAUGAAGCCUUUUUCCAUAAAUGGCCUGAUUUUUAUGACUUUCCUUUAUUAUAUGUCAAAGUACCAGUUUUUAACCAGCAUUUUACAUCUAUUUAUUUGGUACUUUAAACCAUGCUAUUCAGCUGUAUCUUUCCAUUUCAGACCAAUUAUUUUGACUUGUGGAAUUUGGUGCUCCGUGCAAAAAAAAUUUCGCUCACUUUUUUUUUUAAACUGCAACAGAAAAAAUUUAAUUAUGUAUAAAUUUAAAAAAUACUAAUUUUUUCACAUACAAUCAAGUAUUUAUACAAGUAUAUUAACAUUACUUACUAAGUAAGGUACUCAAUUUUAAUCAUUAAUAAAACAUUUUAGUGUUAUUUUAAAUAACAAUAAAAUAUGGGCUUGGCAUAAGUUUUUUAAGCAUAAUAGAGAAUUUUUGCCAUAAAUUAGCAUGUUUUUGUCAUUAAUCAAAUUUACUAUGUUAUAAGUAAAAAUGAUUAUUUAUGUAGAAAAACAUACUAUUACUUCAAAUAAACUUAUUCCCUCAAAAGUAUAUUGAGGAUAAAAAUUGUAAUUUAUCUCUUUAAAAAGUAUGUUUCGUAAUACUUUCAAUUCACGUUUUGGGCUGCAAAAAUUACUAGUUUAUUACGUUAACUUACUAUUUUAGAUGACAAACUUACUUCCUUAUUUUUACGCAUAAUCCUAUUCAAGUGAAUAAGUCCAACAGGUAAUCAAAUGGUUGCUAAAUUUAUUAUAACCUAUUAUAAUAAGUUUUUUUUACCAUGACGAUAGUCAUGGGACCAUUUUCCCGGAUGCUUAAGCUGAACACUUGGUCACUAAAUUUAUAUAUGUAUAUAAAUAUAAUGAAGGCUUGAAUCCUUUCGUUUACCUCCACUUUUCCUUUUUCCAAAUUAUUAUCCCCCACGCAUGUGCGAUAAUCAUUUAUUAUUUCUUAAAAUUUCGGUACCUUCUUUACGCACAUUUUUUGUCCAAGGCAUUUGCAACAUUUUUCCAGUCGUAAUGGGUACAUUUACAAAUACAUAAAUGCCUCUGGUUUUAACAUGCAAAAACACUUCCUGCCCCAACUCGUACGGAAGUUAGUGUGUUUUUUGGUUGCAUCCGCAGACGGUUCUCGUAUAUAUCCUCUCCAUGCGCUGUACAACAAUUUAACUGUCUCCGACUUCCUACCAUAGGCAGGUUCCCACCAUAAAGGUAUCCCUUUCAAGUCCCUGCUGCAUCAAUUGCCAUCAAUUGCUAUAGUACAGUUGGAGGUGUACUAGUCAAAACGCUUCUCUGUAGCGCCGCACAUCUGAUGUGCGGUUAAAGAAAAAACUUUUCCAAACCGUCACAAAUCAGAUGUGCGGUUAUGGGAAAAACAUAUUUUAAUUCAUUGGCCGCAAAUUAGUAUUGCGACAAAAGAUUUAAAAAACAUUUUUUUCUUGCUCCUUCAAAUCAUGACCCUUGAUCAUAUGUUAAUCAAUGGUCCAUUUUUGGCUAAAAUAAAAAAAAUGCAACCGAAAAUCUUAACUUAAAAAAUUCUUAAGCUGCGGAAGAAAAUGAAAAAAUAAAUCAGACAAUCUUUAAGUCGAUAUUGUGAUUUGCGCCGACCCUUAUGAUAGACAAACUCCCUACAAAACACUACUUUUGUGAUAAUUUUUUAUUUUAACAUUAUUCCAAAAAAUUUGCCCAAAUUUGCCCAAAUUUUACCCAAAUUAUCCAAAUUUUAUUGCAAAUUGGAUAAAUUGGAUAAUUGAUUUUAACAUUAUUCCGAGAAUAAUGUAGGUAAAUUAAAUUUUAGGCUUCCAUGGUUUGGGUUUACAUAUUCGGGUUUUAGUGCUAGGGUUUAGGGAUUAGGAUUCUAGAGUUAGGGUUAGGAUUUUAUGAAAAUAAAUAAAUAAAUAAAGGAAUCGCCACACAUGAGCUUUGCGGUGAUACUUUUUUAAUAUAAUAUUCUUCGCCGCUAAUGCUUUUGCAAAAAAAAAAAAAACCGCUCCAUUAAAUUCGUUGGCAAAAAAAAAAAAAAAUUUAAAACAAUUUUUUUAUGAAACCCAACUUCUUAUUUGCGGCGACCCUUUAGGUAAAAACACCCUUCAACUAACACCACUUUUAUGAUAAUUUUUAGUUUUAACAUUAUUCCGAGAAAUUCGCCGCACUGGCUGUGCAUAGCAUAGCCCACCCCUAUUAGUACUACUAGAAAGUAGACAAAAUUUUUUUUUACGGCAAUGAUAACAUUUUUAUAACAUUAUCUAUCAUAAUCUAUAUGGAGGGGAGUAUAAAGAGACUGUGUAUAAGGGGUUAGAAAGUAUAAGAAUCUGACUAGACCAAAAGGAUACUCUGACACCUCAUUUGAAUUUUUUUCACUGCAAGUGGGGUUCAAACCUCCAACCUACGGCCCAAGUGGAGUUCGAACCUCCGACUUACGGUGAAAAAAGAGACUUAUAAUUCCUUUUUUUUUCACUACAGACCAUCUUUUUUUUUUUUUUUUUUUAAGAGGAGAAAGUAGUCUUGAUGAUGGCAUCAAAAUUCAAUGCCCCUUCCAUUUCAUUUCCACCCUACUUCCAUGCUAGUACUGCAUGCUGCCCGGUUGCUAUCUUUCUAUAUAAAGUCCUCGCACCUUUUCUACCUAAAUGGCUCCUACUAUCUAAUUCAACCAUUUCUUAGCAUCAGUUUAGUAUAUUGCUGCCUACAUCCCUUCCCCAAUCACCCCCUCCUCCCCCCAGGAACAAGAAAAAAAAGGAAAAAAACUUCCAUUUCCAACAUUUAUCAUUUGGGCUGUUGAUCAGAUCCACCCAUCGCCACUGACUUGACUCUUUCCUUCAUCAACUAUGGCUGAGAAGGUAAGCCAAUUCUCUUGUUUUGCAUCUUUUUUUUUUCCUCUUUUAGUGUUUGCUCAAUCUGAAAAUUUUAAUUGCAAGUCUAUGACAGCACAUACAACGUGAGAUAUGCUUGCUUCUCUUUAUAUCAAGAUCUGUACCCACAUCUCUCAGCGUAAAACUAGUAGUACCAUAUAAUUGUGCAUCUUAAUUUUGCAUUUCCUAAUUGUUAUAUAUAUAUAUAUAUAUAUAUAUAUAUAUAUAGAGUGACGGAGCUAGGAUUUUUUUUCUAAGAGAUCAAAAUUUUUCAUAACAAAAUUAUCUCAAUAUAUUAUGUUCAAAAUGAUUUCCACACACACAUAUAUAAACUCUCACAAUAUAAACUAAAAUUAUAAAAAAAUUAAAAAGAUCAACUUUAAUUUUACACAUAUAUCUACAUAUUAUGAAUUAAAAUUUUUAAAACUUAAGGAGCCAUGGCCCAUCAGCCCCUUGGCUUCGUCAUUAUAUAUACAUAUGGAUCGAGUUUGACUAUUUUGCUCCGAUAAUAUAUAUGCAACCAUACAGGUGACUACAAUGAGACUCGAGGUUGAUCUUCAAUGCUCCUGCUCCUACAAGGUCAAGAAAUUCCUCUGCAAAUUUCCUCGUGAGUCUCUUAUAAUUAUCAAUUCUAUCUCUUAUGUUUUCAAUACCAGUAUUACUAGUAGUAGUUCUUCUUUAGAGCAAGCACAGUUGGAUGGAGGACAUCCACCGUUCCACCGACUACAUACAUGGCUAGGCAUGUGUGCCACCAUGGGCUACAGUUUUUUUUUUCCCCUUCUCCAUGAUUAAACAACAAAAGCUGGGUAGUGUGGCUUACGAAACUACUAGUGAUCAGUUAGUGGCUUUAAUUUGUAUGGACAAGAAUUUGAGUUUUUUUUUUUUUUUGGGUGAUGCUCAAUUUUUUUGGACAAGAGAAAUCCAAGACCAGGUAUAUGAUGAGAAGCAAAAUCUGGUGACCAUCACCGUGGUGUGCUGUAGCCCCGAGAAAAUCCGCGACCAAUUAUGUUGCAAGGGUGGUAAAGUCAUUAAGAGUAUUGAGAUCGUGGAGCCACCAAAGCCUAAAGAGCCCGAAAAGCCCAAGCCACCACUUGCAGUGGCGGUCUGCUGUGUCCUAUGUUCGGAAGGGUACGGAGGGGGACGAUGCUGCUGC